rnacentral:lncRNA from 1 species
UCUAAGUCUCCCAGAGUCUCUAGUUUUCGAAAUUCUAAUCAUUCUAAGUUUUCCAAAAACCCUCCAAAAGAAGUUUCCCGGGGAAAGUCUAAGUAUUCAAACGAAUCCCAACAAAUGGCUAAGCCUCAAACCCCUCGUUUGGACUUGCCUAGGGUUGUUCAUCCAACCCGAAAUGUCAAAGAUCACCAGAUCAAUGAAUCUCCACUCCGAAGUCGCGUCAAAACGCUCAAUCCAACACAACAUCAACAUCAUAAGUUAUGAAAACAUUCAUAACAAUAAACCAUCAUCAUAAUCAAUAUCAUAGCANAGCAUAAGUCGAAUUUAUCGACGCCUAUAAUGAAAUCAUAGCUAAUAUAUAUGUAAGUUGCCCUAACCUCGAGCUGUUCCAGCUUCGCAAACAAAGUUCUCCUCANACAAUUGCUCUGAGUCUUCCAAAGUUCCCUCAACUGAACCUCGGAGAANAACAAAGCAGAAUCCAAACAAAAUCGAUUAGUUCGAUCGCANAAAAAUACAUAAACGAUAGAANAAGCAUUANAGCUUCAGAAUAGGACAAUCAGGUACGAAAAGACAAGUUUUCGAAAACGAAAACUCCCUCCCCAACACUACAAGGUCACGGCCACAAAGGAAAAAGGGCUUCGGCUCUUUUUCUUUGAUCAAAUCAAUUCACAAGGUAGUUUUAGGAUAAAACUAAGGCAAAGAAACUGUCGGAACAAUUUUCGGACAAUCGGGUCGAAAUAUGACUAUCCAGGGGCAUUUUGGUCCAAAAUAAAGACUCAAAACUUCAAAGUUAUCAGUUCUGAAAACAAAUUUGACAGCAAUGAUCCUCAUGACAUCCGUGACAACAAAUCCUAAAGGCACGAAGUCAGAUUAAGUCUUUUUGACAAUAAAGUUUCGAAAUGUGAGACAAAAAGGGUUUUGAAACAGUUUUUCAGAUCCUGGACAACUGGAUCACAAUCAGCGUUUACUGACAGAGGUUUUAGGCUCAUGGGAACCUUGAGAACAUAACCCAAGCAAGAAAUCGAAGAAAACGAACAAUUUUAGAAAAAGCUCAAAACUGUGAGCACAGAAACGACUUCAGAAACGCAACAGAAACAACAAUCAGAGGUAGGAAUCGUGUUAGUUACCUCGAUACCUAGAAGCAGGGACGAACUGCACGAAGAUUGGUCAAGUUUUCGCGAAAAUCUCCUCCCCCCUUGCUCUCCACGAAUUUGGGCCACUAAUGGAGGAAAAUGAAAGAUAUUUUGCUUUUUCGCCUAUUUAUAGGCGGGCGAAAUCCCGGGAAAAUGAAAAUUUCGCGAUUCCGAUUUUUGCAGCACGUUCACCAAGGAAUUCUAAGAGAGAUUCUGGCGUCAGAAAUCCAGAACUCAAAACAAAUAUCUAUGAUAUGGGAAAAACGAUAUCGAAAAUCUCAAAAGCGGUGUAAGUUAAAUCUGUCCCGAAAAACUACUUUUUGCUGUGAUCGCCGGACGACAAAACUUCCUUCUGAAGAAAGAUUGGAAACGUCGAAACAAAUCUGGCAACGCGGACGGAAUCUUCGUUAGAAGUCCCGAAUAGAAAAAGUCUUCAUCCAUUGCUCGAAAAUAGGGUUUCGAAGCAAAGAAAUUAGCGUCGGCGGACAUCCGAAAAGUGAAACCUAUCGUGCGUACAGUCCAGAGUUCCAAAAUGAAACGCUGGUCGAUGGAAAAAUAAAGAGAAUCUUUAAAUUUUCCGAGAGUUCGAAAUCUCACUCAAAACGUUGCUUUAAGAGCGAAAUAGCCUAUUCUGGACACGCUCGCCAUAAGGCAGGUGUGCAGACGACUCGCACUAACUCCGAAAACAACUACGCAACAUUCCUCAAGCAAUUCCUGAACUUUCUUCUUCAUUAAUCUUUCUCAAAUGUCAAACUCCUGUCACGCUUACACUGAUUCUACGUGUGAGUCGGAAACUUAACUUGUUCUGAAAAUCCAGGUCUUACAAUACUCCCCUCCAAAAAGAAAGUUUCGUCCUCGAAACUCAGAGUUCUGAGAAAGUCCGGAAUACAGUUCCUCGAUCUUAUCUUCCAAUUCUCAUGUAGUAGUGCCUGUAUCAUUGUUCCUCAAAAUCUUUACUUAAGCAAUCUGCCUUCCCCUUAACUGUUUCACUCUUUUAUCCCCCUUCAACAUCAAUUUAUCAACAACUUAUAAGAUAAUCCUCCUCUUAGUAUCUAACAAUCCGUUUUUACCGUCUUCUUCCUCGAAACUUCCCUCACUCAAACCUAUUUACACUCACUGAAAUCCCUAACCCUUCGCACAAAUCGAGACUUAUCCUCUAGAAGAUUACAUCAUAACUAUACCUCAAGGGACUUAACUAGCCAUUGACUCUUAGACUCUACGAAACUCGUCAAAAUAUAACAACUUCAGGUAUUCAUCUUAAUACUAACACUUUCCUUUUUGUAACUCAAUCACCAUCUCGUCAAUCAACUUCUUAAUCUCUCAAUCAAAUUCUGACAAACUUCAAGUCCUACACACCUUAGACAGACAUUCAUAGAUUUAAAACCUAAACCUUCACCAAGUUUGGUCCUCUAAUGACCUUUAAUCCUUCAAUACUUCUUAAAUGAAUAUCCUUUUCUUAAAACUAUAACUCCUUCACUUACCCAAACGACCUGACCAGUGUCGUCAUGCUUUCACAUUCACAACUUAUUAUCCUAACAUCAUUCAAAUCUUAUCACAUGACUCAUUAUGUCAACAACCUUAUAAUCAACAUCAAUCGAUCACCAACUUAUAACCAGCCUUAACCCUCUACACAGCUCAGAAUUCAUUUACUUCAAGAUCACUCUUAUAUUAUACCUCAAUGGUCUUAACCCGAAACUCACCUUCAGGUCUUCAAUCUUCUAAGAUUCAACUCCUAUUGUCACACCUACAACCCAUAUAGACCUCCUACUUCGUACCGCUGAUCCUCGAGCUUUCAGAAUAAUCUUUAACCCUAAGUUUCCGACCCACUUAAGUAAUCUUCUUUAGUUAAUUUUAGGAUAAUUUUUUNNNNNNNNNNNNNNNNNNNNNNNNNNNNNNNNNNNNNNNNNNNNNNNNNNNNNNNNNNNNNNNNNNNNNNNNNNNNNNNNNNNNNNNNNNNNNNNNNNNNACUCCUAGAACGAAUAUUGGGUGGGAUUCUAAAUGUCCAUUAAGGUCACAUCAACUUUGUAAACUAUCAAUCACUGGCACAAAUCGAGACUUUAUCUUUCUAGAAGGAUUAAAUCAUAAACUAUACCCUCAAGGGGACUUAACUAGCCCAUUUUAUCAUCCGGAUCCUUCAACAUUCUAAGAUUUUAACGGUUAUCGUAACCGCUAACACCACUAAAUCUCGUAUGUGUACAUGAAUCUCAGCUCAUUAGGUCAACCUUAGCCCUAGGAUUCUCAUUCAACUUUAGUAAAAUUCACUUGUUACCCGUAAUAUUCAUCAUCAAAAUCCAUAACAAAGUUUCAUUCCCUCUUAGACUCUGAGGAACUUGUCCAAACAUAACAACUUCAAGUAUUCAUCUUAAUACUAACACUUUCCUUUUUGUCACUCCAUCACCAUCUCGUCACUCAACUUCUUAAUCUCUCAAUCAAAUUCUGACAAACUUCGAGUCCUACACACCUUAGACAGACAUUCAUAGAUUUAAAACCUAAACCUUCACCAAGUUUGGUCCUCUAAUGACCUUUAAUCCUUCAAUACUUCUUAAAUGGAUAUCCGUUUCUUAAAAACUAUAACUCCUUCACUUACCCAAACGACCUGACCAGUGUCGUCAUGCUUUCACAUUCACAACUUAUUAUGCCAACAUCAUUCAAAUCUUAUCACAUGGUCAUUAUGUCCGCAACCUCCUAAUCAACAUCAAUCGAUCACCAACUUAUGACCAACCUUAACACCCUACACAACCCAGAAUUCCUUUACUUCAAGAUCACUCUUAUAUUAUACCUCAAUGGUCUUAACCCGAAACUCAUCUCCAGGUCUUCAUUCUUCUAAGAUUCAACUCCUAUUGUCACAGCUACAACCGUAAGAUCUCUUACUCGUAUGUGAUUCCCAACUCUCAAGGUCAAUCUUAACCCUAAGAUUUCAAUCCAUCUUAGUAAAUCUCACUUAGUAACCUUAGCAUGUUUCUCUGAAAUCCAUAUCAACAAUCUCAAGUAUUCAACUUAUACUAAAACUUUAUUUUUCUAACUUAAUCAUUAAUUCAACACUUUUCAAGUGAAAAUUCAUCUCUUAAGACUAUAAUGUCUCCACAAAUGAAUCAAGCGCUUAGCAAAACUUAUUCCUCGAACCCGACUACAACAAUCUAGCUCAGAGUUAAUUCUUCUCAAUCUUGUCAUCAUCAAGUGAUCAUCUAUAACCUGAUAUUAAAUGCAACCUAUUUAGUCUCUAACAAUUCCACUCCGAAAUCACAUAACCUAUGACUUCAUAAUUCCGAGAAAAUACUUAAUAUUUUUCCAGCAUUAAAUCUCUUGACUUAGUCUACCUCUACUUGGAGUAAUCACACGAACUAACCAAUUAAUGUCUAUACGACACUCAUCGACUUCCAAAGAUUUAAAUCUUAAUCUUUUACAAUCAAGUGCUUAACACGAACUUUCCUCCCAAAUCCGACUAAACCUCGAUCAAUUCAAAUUCAUCUUACACAUCCUUCUAUCAAAGUCCAUUACCAGUUCUGAUUCCGAAUAUCACCCCCUCAAUAUUAAGUUGAUCAAGCCUAAUACAUCGAAGGUGAAAUUUAGAAAAACCCACUGGAACAGUCAAUGAGUUCCUAUCAUCCAGUAGUCACAAUUACCCUGAUAUUAAAUCCUCAAUGAUGCCGCUACGGAACUACACACUCUCGACACCAUACGUAUACUAUCCAUACGGAAUCUCUCGGAGAUUCAUUCUUCAGCUUCUAGCUCCUUUGUUAAACGCAUCGGUGCCAUACUACUUUUCUAGGCUUAACGCGUUAUUCUAAACCUCGUGUAACUUCUAUAGUUUAAACACGAGCAACGGUCAAAUAAAGUAUUAUUAGGCGUAAUAACUAUAAAGUCAAAGCUCGACAGUAAAGGCAAGUUAGGUGUGUUGCACGUUCUACGAGAGUAAUAAAGCAUGUUAUCCUAGAAUGAGAAGGAAUAGUUAGAAGGUUACCAUCGUUCGUGCGCUCUAUUCUGACUAGUCUACCAGCUCCCUCGCCGCACGAGACAUAGACUCCUCCCCGUGCAGCAGGAUGUCUUCCUCUCACCGUAGGCACAGAUGGCUCAACCCUGGUUACAUUGCAAUCCUUGGCUUGAUGCCCCGGACGGUUGCAAUUGAAACAUAGAGGUCCCCCGUCUGGACACUUGUUAGAGUAGUGCCCCACCUUCUUGCACCUGUAACACGUUACUCCUUGGCCCGAAGUCUUGUUUCCUGUUCCUCCGGUAGCAUUUAUGGGCUUAUACUGCCCCGAGGUAAAACCUUCCCUCAAAGGGCGUUGAUACGGCUUCUUCUGUUGGAAUUUACCUCUUCCUUUAUAGUUCUGAGGACCUGACCUUACUGGUCCUCCAGUUCCAGCACGAUUCAACCUCUUGUUCUUCAUUAACUCCACUUCUGUGGCUUUCUCAACCAAGGACUGGAAGCGCAUGAUUCCCAACGGUUUCACUGAGUCCUCAAUGUCAGGCCUCAGCCCAUCACAAAGCGUGCNNNNNNNNNNNNNNNNNNNNNNNNNNNNNNNNNNNNNNNNNNNNNNNNNNNNNNNNNNNNNNNNNNNNNNNNNNNNNNNNNNNNNNNNNNNNNNNNNNNNGUCCUUUGGUGAAGUAAUCAACCGCCCGAUGAUAUACUUCAUUUGUGCCUUCGCUACCGGGAAUGGUCCCAAAAUGUCAGUCCCCCACAUAGCAAAUGGCCAAGGUGCCAUCAUGGUUGUUAAUUCCUCCGGCGGGGCCUUAUGCAAAUCAGAAAAGACUUGACAUUUUCCACAUUUCUUAACAUAUUCCAGACAGUCCUUCUUCAAUGUGGGCCAGUAGAAUCCUGCUCUCAAAACUUUUACUGCCAAGGAUCGCCCACCAAUAUGACUGGAGCAUACUCCUUCGUGGACUUCCGCCAUUAUUCCCGGGGCAUCUUUGGUGUCAACACAUUUCAGCAUAGGAGACAUAAUGCCUCGCCGAUAUAACUCCCCAUCCACCAGUGUGUAGAAACUGACCUCUCUACGUUUUGCUCUUGAGUUCAAAUCGUCAUCCUGUGGAGGGUUCUGUAGAAAAAUUUUGAUUGAUUCCAUCCACGAAGGCUCGCCUUCACUUAUUGACUUCACUGCUUUGAACUUUACUUCCACUAAAUCAAUACUUGGGCGAGGCAGGGUUUCUUGAAUGACUGUUUGGUAAUUGCCCAAUCACCCUGUACUUGCUAAUUUUGCUAACACAUCAGCCCUCUCAUUUUGUCCCCUCGGGACAUGUUCUAUUUUAACAUCUUUGACCUCCAUCAUCAAUCUGCGCACCACUUCCAAGUAUUUGGAAAGUUGCGGAUCCUUCACCUGAUACUCGCCUUUCACCUGCUUAACCACUAACUGCGAAUCUCCUUUGAUAAAUAACUUCUGGACCCCCAACUCAAUGGCUAGCCUUAAGCCGGCGAUCAGAGCCUCAUAUUCAGAUUGAUUGUUGCUCGCUUUGAACUCGAAUUUUAGAGACUGUUCAAUGAUCAUUUUAUCUGGACUUUCAAUUGUUAUCCCAGCCCCGCUUCCAGUGUUAUUGGAGGAUCCAUCCACAGAUAGGACCUAUUCUCCUUGAGUCUUUUCGCCUUCUGUGGGCGUUAAUUCCGCCACGAAGUCGAUCAAACUUUGGACUGUGACUUGGCCCCUUGGCUCAUAUUGUAUAUCGUAUUCCGAUAAUUCAACUGACCAGCUAACCAAUCGCCCGGAUAAAUCAGGCUUUUGAAGUACUUGCCUUAAGGGAACAUCAGUUUUAACUUUGACUUGGAAACUUUGGAAAUAAGGCCUGAGGCGCCUUGCUGUUUUCAGAAUCGCCAAAGCCGCCUUUUCAAUUUUUUGGUAUCGCAGUUCAGCGCCUUGCAGGGUGUGACUUACAAAAUAUAUAAUCUUCUGUUGUUUUCCUUCUUCCUGAAGUAACACUGUGCUGACCGCCCUGUCCGUGACAGCCAGGUAGAGCAUCAGAGGAACGCCUGGCGUAGGUUUGGAUAGUACUGGCAACGUUGCUAAUGUUUCUUUCAACUUGGAAAAAGCUUGCUCGCAUUCCUCUGUCCAUUGGAACUUGGAAUUCUUUUUUAAACAAUUGAAGAAAGGAGCCGCUUUGUAUCCCGCCAUUGGCAAGAAACGUGCUAAAGCCGCCAUGCGUCCUGUUAAUCGCUGUACUUCCUUGACGCUUGUUGGACUUUUCAUUUCUAAGAUCGCCUUGCCUUUAUCUGGGUUUACUUCAAUCCCUCUUGAUGUUAUCAUAAAGCCCAAAAAUUUUCCCCCUUGAAUCCCAAACGAGCAUUUCUCAGGAUUUAACUUCAUUUGAUAUUUUCUUAAUUGAGUAAAUGCCUCCAUAAGAUCGCCGCCGUGAUCACCAGCCUUGGCGGACUUUACAAUCAUGUCAUCCACAUAUACCUCCAUAUUCCUGCCCACUUGUCUUGAAAAAAUUUUAUCCAUGAGCCGUUGGUACGUAGCUCCUGCGUUCUUCAAACCAAAAGGCAUUGUCUUGUAACAAUAAUUCGCCUGAUUGGUCAUAAAUGUUGUACUUUCCUCGCCCGAGGGAUGCAUCAUAAUUUGAUUAUAGCCCGAGUAAGCAUCCAUGAGACUUAAAAGUUCAUUCCCGGAAGCUCAUCCACAAGUUAUUAACAUUCUGAAAGGGAGACCAAUUCUUGGGGGCCCUCUUGUCAACUUGGUGUAGCCGUGCACAUUCCCACUUUCCAUGGCUUUUUUUGCCAUACCACAUGGCGAGCCCUUUGGUACUGACCUACGGAUGAAGCGAGCCUGAUAGUUCUCAGCUUAAUGUACGGCUUGUCUUUCAUACUAUUCUCGCUGGUGNNNNNNNNNNNNNNNNNNNNNNNNNNNNNNNNNNNNNNNNNNNNNNNNNNNNNNNNNNNNNNNNNNNNNNNNNNNNNNNNNNNNNNNNNNNNNNNNNNNNCCUGGCGUUUCUUUCAAAACCAAAAGAGGCAUAUGUCCUUUGUAAACAAUAAAUCCGCCGUGAAUUGUGUCAAUAAAUGGUUGGAACUUUCCUUCGGCCCGAAGGGGAAUGCAUCCAAUAUAUUUUGAUUUAUAAGCCCCGAUGUAAGCCAUCCAUGAGGACUUUAAAAGUUCAUUCCCGGAAGCUCCAUCCACAAGUUUAUCAACAUUCGGAAGUGGAUACGAAUCUUUGGGGCACACUUUGUUCAAGCUUGUGUAGUCCGUGCACAUUCGCCACUUUCCAUUGGCUUUUUUUGACCAUUACCACAUUGGCGAGCCACUUUGGGUACUGUACCUCACGGAUGAAGCGAGCCUUGAUUAGUUUCUCAGUCUCUAAUUGUACGGCCUUGUUCUUUUCAUCACUCAUUCUUCGCCUUGGUUGGAUGACUGGGGUCGCCCCUGGUCGUAUGGCCAAUUUAUGAGUGAUCACAUUGGGGUCAAUCCCUGGCACAUCAUUGAUGGUCCAUGCAAAGAGAUCCAAAUUAUCACCUAGAAGGGUGAUUAGUCUUUCCUCUUGCUCUUUUGUUAAACUGCUGCCAAUCUUUAAGAACUUGUCCUUGACUUGCACCUGCUUGGUUUCUUCCAGAGGUUGUGGGCGAAAAUCAUCAACAUCAUCUCUUGGGUCUAAACUAAAUCCUUCUUGUGGAAAGAUUUCUGUAAUUCGAUGACUUUGUUAAGUUCAAACGUGUUACAACGUGUUUGAAUCUUAUUUUGAUCCUAACAAUUUUUAUAAAUACUUUUCUAUACUAAAAUCUAAUUCCAGAUGUUAAUGACAUUUUUCAGGAAAUAUAUAUUAUAAGGUCGCAUGCUUCAACGAAUAUGUCUAAGCCUUAUAAGGAAAAAGAAGUUUACGCAAGAUAUGACCGCAUCGUCCAGUAAACAAGGAAGACACUUGUUCUGUAUCGUUUCAUGCCACGUCAUACCUCAGAAUUUCAGAAGAUGCCUUUGAGCGGGAAAGUCAAAAUUGUAUCUCAACUAUUUGCCCCAUGCUUUAGUCAGAAGGAAACUAAUCUGGUCACGUGCAAACUGAUUUACCUUUGAAGAGAGAAGUCUCGAUGACCAAUGAAGAGGAAAAAGGACAACACGUCAACAUCACUUUUCCAAAAUGUCUCUCUUCUGCAAAGUAGCCCAAAGCUAUCACCACCUACUAGCUGACAAAGUACACCUUUUUGGCUAAAGGAUAGCUUUGAACAGCAGCAUGCAUUUAAUGAAGCUACCAACCGGAGAUUUGAAUCAAUGGUUAGAUGACACUCACAACGGCUACAAACAACGGCCAGAUUUUGUGUCUCAACGGCUACACAACUAGCAAGAUCAUAUAUAAAGGACAUAUCUGAAGAUUGAAGAAGACAAGAAGAGAAAAAUUUAUUGCAAGAAAAGAAAGAACUCAGAGCAGUUAAUAAAAACAUUCUUCAAAGCAUUAAAAGCUCACAGCAGAUUUCCUAAGAGUCAAAUCCGAUCUCAUACCUCUGCUAAAUCAAGAGAGAAUACCAAACCUUAAAAGAGUCAAACCUCUUCUCUUACUUCUCUCUUAGAUUCUGAACUCUUGUGUGUUCCAACGUCCUUUCAGAACCCAAAACACUUGAGAGUUCCAGUGCCAUAAAUUGUCUACACCAACUCUUUUGAGAAGAGAUUUCUUGUAGAGCCAAACAAUCUUGUUGAUUGUAGGAGGAGUCCUGUACAAUACUUGGAGAAGUCCGUGAUAAUACUAGGAGGAGUCCUGUACAAUACUUGGAGAAGUCCGUGAUAAUACUUGGAGAAGUCCUGUCUAAUACUUGUAUUGGAGAAGUCCUUGAUACUUGCUAGUGAAAAUCUUGGUGGUGGCCAAGUACUGGACGUAGCCCAAUCGUUUAGGGUGAACCAGUAUAAAUUCCUGUGUGCUGAUCGUUCUGCUUUAUUUACUUACUUCCGCUGCACUAAACAGUUUUUGAAAAGUCACCAGAACAAUUCUCUUAAGAACUUAUCUUCUUUUCAUAAACUAAAGUUCUAACAAGUAAUUUUUAAGAACUUAAUUCAAACCCCCCCUUUCUUGUGUUACUUAUUUACAUAUCAAUUGGUAUCAGAGCUUAGGCUCUAGAACUAACAUCUUAACAGGUGUAGAGUAAAGAUCCAUGGCAGAAGAUCAAGCUAUCGCUACGGGCUCAUCCACCAACAAGCCUCCUUUCUUUGAUGGAACCGAAUAUCCCUACUGGAAGACGCACAUGCAAAUUUUCAUAGAAUCCUCAAGCUACAAGUUGUGGGAUAUCAUUGAAAAUGGCAACAUCGUCUAUAAAGAUGACGCUGGUGAACCCAUCAAGAAAGAUCAGCUGACAGAAGCUCAACGCAAAGACUAUCAACUCAAUUCAAAGGCAAAACUAUUUAUCUUAUGUGCCUUAAGCAAAGCUCAGUUGGACAAAGUUGAUGGACUCGCAACUGCCAAAGAAGUAUGGGAAGCUCUAGGGCUUGCCUAUGAAGGUACAGCAAAUGUACGUCAAGCCAAAGUAAGUUUACUAGUGGCUGAAUAUGAAACCUUCAAAAUGAAGGAAAAUGAAACCAUUGAUGAAAUGUUCGCAAGAUUUCAAACCAUUAUCAAUGGUCUUCGAAAUCUCGAUCGCACAUACGCACACAUUGAUCAAAUCACAAAAAUACUGAGGUGCCUUCCUAAAAGAUGGAGACCCAAAGUUACUGCUAUCCAAGAAGCAAGAGAUCUUAGCACACUAAAACUUGAAGAUCUCCUGGGAUCUCUGAAGGUUCAUGAGAUUGAACUUUCUCAAGAUGAAAGCCUAAAGAAGCAGAAAAGCAUCGCCUUCAAAGCUAACAUCUCCAAAAAUAGUCAGACGAAAGAAAUGUCUGAUGAAGAAGAUUCCUCAGAAGAACUGUCCGAUGAUGAGCAAGCACUGUUCAACAGAAAGUUCAAAAAGAUGUGGAUCAAAGAACAAAGAGGAAAAGGCCUGAAGAAGGACAACAAAAGAGAAUCAAGUCAGAAAAAGAAAUCCUUUCCACACAAAGGUGAAAGCACCUCAACUGCAGACAAAAGCAACAUUACAUGUUUCGAAUGCAAAAAGCCAGGUCACAUCAAACCAGACUGUCCUAGACUAGCUAAAAAGCCUGUCAGGAAACCAUUCUACAAGAAGAAGAAAGCUCUAGUAACUGGCUGGGAUGAUUCUGAAAACAACUCUGAAGAUGACGAGGAAGAAGAAGAUGAAGAAUCUCUAUUCGCUCUCAUGGCUUCAGUAGAUGGAUCAGAUGAUGAUGAAGAUGAUGAGGUAAGAUCUGGAAACCUUGAAGAAGAGUUUAAUGAACUGCUUGAACAUUCUUACACUUUAUCUGAAAAAUACAAGAACCUGAAGAAACAGUUUUCCAAGUUGCAAAAAGAACAUGAGAAAGUUUUAAAAGAAAAAGAUUCCAUUAUUCAUGAAAAUGAGUUUUUAAAGAAACAAGACUCCACAAUGGAAGUAUCUGCUUUAAAGAAAAGAAUCAAAGUUUUGAUUGAUGAUUUAUCUACUUUCACAAUAGGGCAUGACAACUUAGUUAAACUAUGUGGAAACAGUAGAGACUUAUAUGAUAAAAGUGGUCUGGGUUUUGACAGCAGUGAACCGUCUAAUGAAACUAUGUCUGAUAUAUCGUUUACUUCUUCUAUUGAUAGUGAAUCUAAAUUUGUUGUGAACUGUUCAAUAGAAAGGGAAGGAAAGAAAAUCUUCUAUGAGAAGAAGAUUCCUCCCAAGCGUGCAACUAACCCUAUAGGACCCAAGAAAAUCUGGGUACCUAAGAAAUCAAUAAUUCCUGUUGCAGAUUUACUUAACAGAACGAAGGAAACGCCAACAAUGGUACCUGGACAGUGGAUGCUCGCGUCAUAUGACGGGAGAAAAGUCUAUGUUCCCCAAGAUUCAAGUUAGAUCUGAUGGUGGAUUUGUAACCUUUGGUGGAAAUCAAAAAGGAUUCAUUGUUGGAGAAGGUACUGUUGGUAAGGAACCUCUUCCAGUAGUUAAUAAUGUCUUAUUAGUUGAAGGGUUAAAACAUAAUCUACUUAGCAUAAGUCAAUUAUGUGAUAGUGGGUUCACUGUUUCCUUUAAUAAAGUGAAGUGUAGUGUUACUGAUUCCGAUGACAAAAUCAUCUUUGAAGCUCAGAGACAAGGGAAUCUAUAUAAGACGAACUUGGAAAACCUAGCAAAUCAAAAUGUAACUUGUCUAGUAUCAUCAGAGGAUAAUACAUGGCUUUGGCAUAGGAAGCUAGGGCAUGCAUCCUUAAGGACCAUCACUAAAAUCAUAAGUAAUGACUUAGUACGUGGUUUGCCAAAACUAUCUAUUAAAUCUGAUGCUACAUGUUCUGCAUGUACUCAAAGCAAACAGCAUCGUACCUCCUGUCGUGCUAAAAACUUUGUCAGUACUAGCAAACCUCUGGACCUUUUACAUAUGGAUUUGUUUGGUCCCACUAGGGUAGCUAGUGUUUCUGGAAAAAGAUUUUGUUUUGUCAUUAUCGAUGACUACACAAGAUUCUGUUGGGUCUACUUCCUAAGAAGCAAGGAUGAAACAUUCCAAGCAUUCAAGAUCUUCAGCAAAAGAGUUCAAAAUGAAAAGGGCUACUGCAUCACAGCCAUUCGCAGUGACAGAGGAGGAGAGUUUGUGAAUGAAGAUUUUGAAAAAUUCUGUGCACAAGAAGGUAUCAGCCAUCAGUUCUCAGCUCCAAGGACACCACAGCAAAACGGUGUAGCUGAACGGAAGAACAGAUCACUUCAAGAAAUGGCAAGGACAAUGCUCAGUGAAACUUCCCUACCAAAGUAUUUCUGGGCUGAAGCUAUUGAAACUGCAUGCUACAUUCAGAAUAGAAUAUCUAUGCGACCCAUGUUGAAAAAGACUCCAUAUGAACUAUGGAAAGAUAGAAAGCCAACUGUAUCGUGUUUGACUAACCUUAUCACCUAACUUCAUAUGUUGAGAUUAUGAUGAUUUGAUGUUGAUGAACAUCGUUAGGUAUUAAUGAUUGAACUGUGUAGGAGAUUCGAGAACAUGCUAUGUAUAUACCUUAGAGUAGGCAAUACAUAACUUAUAUGUAUAUAUAUACAACAUAUGUAUAUAUCCCCUUUAUCACAAGUUGAUUGUAUAUCUAUUGUAUUCUGUAAGUUGACCCUAGCGCCUUGGCUUUGUUUGUAUGUUUGUGUUUGGGCGGUCGGCCUGCUGCCAGGCGUCUGUCAGCCGGUUCGUGAUGAUUCGUUGUGCGGGAAAGACCCGGAGCGGAACGACUAUUACUGAAGCUUUCGACGAGGACCCGGACUUCAUGCCUGAUCGAGGGAGGGUCGAUGAUAGUAGUGUGGGGUAUGGGUGGUUAGAGUCUUUUGGAGUUGGUUGUUAUUGUAAUAGCUCUGAUUCGUUUUGCUUUUGGGACAGGGUAGGUUCCCGAUGCAUGGCUUUUUGUGUGGUUCUCUUACGGAGGGAUCACAGUGAGUCAGUCGGACCAUAGGGGUCUUUGCUUAGGCCGUUUUGAGGCCGACUUUCUCCUAGUGGUUUGUAAUUAUACUUUUUCUCACUCACACUUCUGGAUCUGUAAAUAUUUGCCUACGGGCACACUACUUUGGAGUCACUGCGAGUGUGUGUGACGUGGAAGUGCAGCUGAGGCUGUACAUGUUUAUAUUUGAUGUAUAUUGGUUAGUUUAGUAGUUGAGUUUUGUCUUUACUUCUUUAUCGUUUUGAUUUAAAGGAAAGAAAACGAAAAAAAAAAUUACCUGUUUUCCGCGUAAAGAUUAUUUUUGGUUACUAAAGUGACACCUGGAAAUCGGGGUGUUACAUUGUGGUAUCAGAGCUUGUCGAGUCUUUCGGGAGUCUUUGGGGAAUAGGUCUUCUGUGCUAGGUUGUGUGACUCUGUAAAGAGUAAAAAAAAUUGAUUGUCUGCCAAGCGAUCUUCGCUUUAAUUGAUUGAAGUUGCUACCUAAUCAUAUUGUAUAGUUAUGCAUAAUACUAUCUUAUGAUUGGUACUGACUGUUUGCUAAACGAAUACAGAACAUGGUGAACGCGAACCAACUUGCUGAGAUGGUGGCCACUUUGGUCCAAGCUAUGACUGUACAGACGAAUGACAAUGCACAUAGGCGUGCUACUGAGGAUGCACGCGAGCUAUACCGGCUUCAGAGAGAAGCAGCCCUGGACCAGAACAGGGGAUUGAAUGAUUUCAGAAGACAGAAUCCACCCAAGUUCACGGGCGGGACUGACCCGGACGAGGUGGAUCUCUGGAUCCAAGAGAUAGAGAAGAUUUUCGAAGUACUACAGACUAGUGAAGGGGCUAAGGUGGGCCUGGCAACUUAUCUACUACUGGGCGAUGCUGAGUACUGGUGGAGGGGCACCAGAGGGAUGAUGGAGGCAAACCAUGUUGAGGUGAACUGGGAUUCUUUUCGUGCCGCCUUUCUGGAGAAGUAUUUUCCUGAUAGUGCUCGUGACGAGUGUGAGUCGCAGUUUCUGACUCUUCGUCAAGGGAGCAUGACUAUUCCGGAAUAUGCUGCUAAGUUAGAAUCUUUGGCCAAACACUUCCGAUUUUUCCGUGAUCAGGUUGAUGAACCCUAUAUGUGCAAGCGCUUUGUGAGGGGACUGAGAGCUGACAUUGAGGACUCAGUGAGACCGUUGGGGAUUAUGAGGUUUCAAGCUUUGGUUGAGAAGGCCACCGAGGUGGAACUGAUGAAGAAUAGGAGGAUGGACCGGGCUGGAACUGGGGGACCAAUGAGGUCGAGUUCCCGGAGCUAUCAAGGAAAAGGAAAGUUUCAGAUGAAGAAGCCUUAUCAGCGUCCUGUGGGGGAAAGGUUUACCCCAGGAUCGUACAAGCCUAUGGUUACGGCUGCUGCUGGAGGAACGGGAAACCAGAUUGCAAUCCAAGAUGUGAAAUGCUUCAGGUGUGGAAAGUUGGGACACUAUGAAAGUGCGUGCUCAGAACCGAGGCCCAAGUGUUUCAACUGCAACCAACCGGGGCACAACGCCAGUCAGUGUAGGGCACCCAAGGCGGAGCCGUCUGUCAAUGCUGCAAGGGGAAAGCGCCCUGCUGCUAGAGGAAGGGUUUAUAUCAUGGACGGUGAAGGAGCUGAGGGGUUAGCCAGAGGUGAGUGCAAGAACGAUGGUAACCUUCUAACUAUUCUUUCUCAUUCUAGUACAACAUGCUCAUCAUUACUCUCGUAGAAUGUGCAACACACCUAACUUAGUUAUACUGUUUGAGCUUUGACCUUACAGUUAUUACACCUACUAAGAAUUUAUUUGACUGCCGCUCGUGUUUUAACUAUAGAAGUUACACGAGGUUUAGAAUAACACACUAAGUCUAGAAAGUAGUCUUCCACCGAUGCGAUUAUGAGGAAGCUAGUAGCUGAAGAACGAAUCUUAGGGAGAUUCCGUAUGGGUAGUAUACGUGUCAUGUUGAGGGUGUGUAGUUCCGUAGCGGGAUCAUUAAAGGAUUUAGUAUCAGGAUAUUUGUGACUACUGGAGGAUAGGAACUCAUUGACUGUUCCAGUGGGUUUUUCUAAAUUUCCACCUUCGAUGUAUUAGGCCUGAUCAACCUAAUAUUGAGGGGGUGAUAUUCGGAAUCACAGCUGGUUAUGGACUUUGAUAGAAGGACGGGUAAGAUGAAUUUGAAUUGAUUGAGGAUUAGUCGGAUUUGGGAGGAAAGUUCGUGUUAAGCAUUUGAUUGUAAAAGAUUAAGAUUUGAAUAUGUGGAAGUCGAUGAGUGUCGUAUAGACAUUGAUUGGUUAGUUCGUGUGAUUACUCCAAGUAGAGGUAGACCAAGUCAAGAGAUUUAGUGCUGGAAAAGUAUUAAGUAGUUUCUCGGAAGUUAUGAAGUCAUAGGUUAUGUGAUUGCUGAGGGGAGUUGUUAGAGACUAAAUAAGUUGGAUUUAAUCAUGCAGCGAGAUUGAGAAGAAUUAGCUCUGAACUAGAUUUUUAUAGUCGAGUUCGAGGAAUAAGUUUUGCUAAGCGUUUGAUUAAUAUGUGGAGACAUUAUAGUCUUAAGAGAUGAAUUUUCGCUUGAAAAGUGUUGAAUUAAUGAUUAAGUUGGAGAAAGAAAGUUUUAGCAUAAGUUGAAUACUUGAGAUUGUUGAUAUGGACUUCAGACAAUUGUGCUUAGAUUACUNNNNNNNNNNNNNNNNNNNNNNNNNNNNNNNNNNNNNNNNNNNNNNNNNNNNNNNNNNNNNNNNNNNNNNNNNNNNNNNNNNNNNNNNNNNNNNNNNNNNAGCCUUUCUUCUCUUUUGACCGUUGUCUUCUUUUUUUCUUUCGCAUAUGUCAUCUCUUUUUAUUUUUAAGAAUUUCCAAGAUGUCAACCGAUGUUCCAGCGUUCUUCCUAGAACUCUUUCACUUUUACGGAGGGGAAGUUCUGCCACCAUUGGGAAGUUUCUCGCCCCCACCGUUAAUAAAAUUAUUUCCUCGCUUCACACCAGGAGAUUCCGGUCCCGCCGGCCCAGUAGACUAUUUUUCCUCCAAAUGGAGACUUGUCUUCACCGAAUGGCGUUCCAACGCGCAUUUAGUUGAAGAUAAGUGUCUUUUGGCGCUCCAUCUGGGGUAGUAUUGGAAGCAUCAGCUCGCUUCGAAUAUCUUCUCAAGGGUUUACAAAGAUAAAUCCCGCCACCUCUAAUAACGAAGAUCACCUGUUAAAUGUUCUUCCAUGUGGCGAGGAUGAUUGUGUUCUUUUACGCAAGGAACCUUCUGAUGAAUCGCCCGACUUCUUUUUUGUUUAUGGCUAUUUCUUCUUGGAUUUGAAUAUCAAACUCCCUUUCUCGCCUUUUAUAUGUCACGUUCUUACCUUUUUGAACGUGGCGCCUUGUCAACUCCAGCCCAACGCCUGGGGUUUUAUUCGCUGCUUUGAAAUUCUCUGUGAACAUUUGAGUUGCACUCCCACCUAUCCCUUGUUUUUCCUUUUCUAUAAGACAGUCACCACAAAACCUACAUCUGUCAAGUGGGUUCCCCUUUUGGCCCGCAAGAACAUGAGCCGAUUCACCGCCCUUAAAAGCCAUUACAAAGUGUGGCAGAAAAAAUACUUCAAAGUUAUGGAGUCACCUGAAAUGAAUAACUUAUUUCGAGAUUCCGAUAAUAACCCUCUCUUCCCCUUUUACUGGACAAAAAACCCUCGCCGAAAAAUAUCUGUUUCAUACGACGCCUUGGAUGAAUCUGAGCAGGCCAUCGCCGAUUACCUUCGCACAUUACCAGUAAUCUCUGGUCAUGACUUGAUUGAGGCGUCGAAAUCCGGCACUUUAAAUCAAUUUUUUAGUAAGUUUAUAAUUUUUGCACAACUUGUUUUUCUUUUUGUUCACGUACCUCGCCUAAUUGAUGCUUUCCAUGGAGCCACGAUGGGAAAAAGCAAGGUUGAUGCAAACCCCAUCAAGAUGAAGGAAUACCUCGCCCAGUCUGCUGCGGCGGCGAAGAAAAGGGCCGCCGAGACUGAGCAGAAGAAAAAGAAUGAAGGUACUUCGGGCUCUGAUAACGUCAGGGACCCUAAGCGCCAAAAAACUUCGAGCAUUGCUGGUGGUAAACCUCUUCACCAAUCAACUCUCGAUCCAAAAGGUCGUCCGGCUGAGAAAAAGAAGGGUCAUGACAAUGUCCCGCCAAUUCAACCGGAUUCAAGCGCACUAAUCAACCGUCCGCCAACUCCAUUUACCCAAGCUGGCCCUAGCUCAGCUAUUGGUGGUGAGACUCUUCCCCCUUUGCUGAGCUUAUCUGAUCCUCAUUUCAACGGAUUGGAUUUUAUGACCCGCACCUUUGACAACCGGCUUCACAAGGAUGUUUCCGGUCAAGGUCCCCCCAACAUUGCUUCUGUGACGAUCCAUCACGCACUUUCUGCCGCCAGUACCGUGGCGGGAAUGGCUCAGUGCGUGAAGGAGUUGAUAUCAGCCAAGAACCGUUAUGAAAAGAAAGCGGCUGAUUACAAGACUGCCUAUGAGCGAGCAAAAGCCGAUGCUGAGACCGCCAACAAAAAUCUGAAGGCCGCUGAGGAGAAGUGUGCUAAGUUAACUGAUGACUUGGCGGCUUCUGACCUGCUUCUUCAAAAGACCAAGUCUUUGAAAGAAACUAUCAAAGACAAACACACUGCUGCUCAGGCCAAGUGCCAAAAGCUGGAAAAGAAGUACGAACGCCUAAAUGCUUCCAUCUUGGGGCGUGCUUCUCUCCAAUUUGCUCAAGGCUUUUUGGCGGCCAAAGAGAAAAUAAGUGUGGUUGAGCCAGGCUUUGAUCUUUCCCGUAUUGGGUAUUUGAAGGACAUCAAGGAUGGUCAAGUGAUUGGUGAUGAUGAUGUUAGCCUCGACCUCCUUCCUCAAUUCGAUGAUGAAAGUGAGCCUGAAGAAGAUGGCGAGGAUAGGAAUGAGCAGAACAAGGAUGAGGAUCAAGAGAAGGAAGACCCUCAAGUUGGAGCAAGCCAGGGAAACGACGCCAACAAUGAUAACGUAGCUUGAAUUUGUAAUUUGUUUUUAUUUUGUUAAGUCAAUUUUAUCUUUGGGCCUUGCCCUUUUGUUUGUCCUUUCCAAUCAUGUAAUGCUUCGCCACUUCCUUACUUUUUAACAAAGUUUGUUUAAAUUCUUCUGUUGUUUCCAUGUUGUGACUUUGAUGUUGUUUAUCAGAUUUUGUUGUUAUUUAGGUCUGUAUACCUUAGUCGAUUUUUCGACGAGGCUUGGUUUCUAGUGGCCACUAGAAUUGCCAAGGCUUUUAACAUUUGAUGGCGAUACUUUCUUAUUCCGAAAGGUUUACUCGCGGUAUUGCAUACCUUGAUACGAUUUUCAUUGCAUGAACUCGUAAUAUAAAUUUAAAAAAUAUAGGCGAUUCUGUUGAAAUGAUCUUUUCAUUAAUUUUCUUUCACACAUGGGAACAAUUGUCCCUUCAUUACAUAUGUCGCCUCAUUAAAAACCUUUCCAAAGAAAGGGAAAAAGAGUGUGACUUCAUUCACCUUUGUUGUUUUUUGUCUUUUUAACUAAAAUAUUGCUUCAGAUGUGAGGCGUUCCAUGUCCGUGGGACCCUCUGACCAUUAAGUUGUUCCAACUUAUAAGCUCCUCCUCCAACAUCGCCAAUAAUCCUGUAAGGCCCGCCCCAAUUGGGUGAAAGUUUGUUGUGUUUGUCGGGUAUUGUAUUUUUUCGGAGCACUAAGUCUCCUACCCUCAUCUUUCUUGGCACUACUUUCGUUGUGAAUUUUCUUGCAAUCUUCACUUUUCCCGCCUCAUUUCUUAUGUGUGCCUCCCGUUGUUCCUCUGGCAACAUAAUUAGAUUUGCUAUCAGAUUUUCCCCGUUGUCAUUCUCAUUAAACCGAGACACUCGCCAACUUUGGUUUUCUAUUUCCACUGGGAGCAUGGCGUCAGUCCCAUAGGUUAAACGAUACGGGGUUUCCUUUGUGCUUGAUUGUUCAGUAGUGUUAUAUGCCCAAAGAACGCUUGGUAAUUCCUCCGCCCAACACCCUUUUGCUUCAUCCAACUUCUUUUUUAAGCCUUUCAAAAUAACUUUAUUAGCUGACUCGGCCUGUCCAUUAGUUUGUGGGUGUUCUACCGAGGCAAAUCUCAUCUCGAUUCCCAUUUCUGCACAAAAUUCCCGGGUGACAUUACUUGUAAAUUGGGUCCCAUUGUCCAUUACCAAAGCCAUGGGGACCCCAAAUCUGUACACAAUUCUUCGCCACAAGAAAUUCUUGACCUUGACCGCCGUGAUAGUCGCCACUUCUUCAGCUUCUAGCCAUUGAACGAGCNNNNNNNNNNNNNNNNNNNNNNNNNNNNNNNNNNNNNNNNNNNNNNNNNNNNNNNNNNNNNNNNNNNNNNNNNNNNNNNNNNNNNNNNNNNNNNNNNNNNUCCACAACACAAUAAUUAUUUUUAAACCUCUCCACUUAUAUAAUAAUAAUAAACCUAAAUGGGAUUUAAAGGGGCCAAACCCUUAAAAAAUUAAAUUUCCCCUCCAAAGAGGGAGGAUUAAUUAAAAAGAUGACUAUCGCAACUAUUGUACUCCUAACAGUUAGUUAAUAGGAUCAGAUGAAAAACUAAACUAUUCAUCAUUACGUUGAUUUAAGUGUACCGUAAUUGUCAUUUAAUCAAAUGGAAGACCUCAGUUAUCACUGAGGUCAUGGUAAAAGUCUCAAAAGAAAGGUGGUAUUAAUCUUUAUCCAUCUUUAACGAAUUAUGCAGGAACCACAGAUAAAUGAUGAAAUGACUAGCAGAAUAUGCAUUGUUGUGAAGAAAGAUGAAUUGGCUGAAUUAUUUUGUCUAAAGACGGAAUUGUGCUUGUAUCCUUUCUUUUUAUUUUUGGUCAAUAUUCUUGUAGCUUUGCUUAAACCACUAAAGAACCCCUCCCUUUAUUUUUUGGACUAAUUCUUCAUUGCGUUUCUGGUGGGCCUUACCUUUAAAAUGUUAAUUUUUUUUAUCCUGUAGGCCUUUAUUGACAGAAAAACAUAUAGGCCGUUUUUUGUUAACGUGGUUGACGGCCCAGUAGUUACCUAAUGUUUUUUUUAUUUUUUUAUUUUGCUGAUUUGAUCUUAAAACAUAAUCUUCUGUAGCCGAUAAUAUAGUUGAGUUAACCCUAGCUUAAGAUCAUAUACAAUUGUAAUUGGUUACCUUAUUUUGUACAGUACUGUAUUUUGUUCAACCUCGAGCAUAGACAACUGAGAGUUUAACUAAGAUAGUAUUCACGUUACAUUGUCAUUAAGUCAACUAAUGUUAGUUUAGUUGAUAAUUUUAACAACAAACUUGGUUAUGCAAUUGGGAGUAUUUUAUAUGUAGUCAUCAAGUUACGUUGUCAACAAAUAACUAAUGUUAGGUUAGGUGGAUCAUUGGUACAACUAACCCUAUUAUAUGAAAGGCUAGAGCAUGGCUAAGUAACAUUUAGUUAGAAGGGUCAUUAGAAUAACUAACUCUCCUCCAUCGUAGACUAAAUUUCAUCUACCUUUAAUUGUCCAUCAAAUAACUAAUGUUAGGUUAAGUGGAUCAUUGGAACAACUAACCCUACUAUAUGAUUUGCUAGAGCAUGACUAAGCAACAUUUAGUUAGCAUGGGUCAUUAGAAUAACAAACUCUCAUCUAAUAAAGACUAAAUUUUAACUACCUUUAAUGUCAUCUUCUUCGUUGUAACAACUAAUAAUGGGUUAACAUGUCAUUGAAUUAGAUAGUUGUGGUUUAACCUAGAUGUUCAAUAGUCCCUCCACCAAGGGUAGUACUUCCGACAUCUGUCGACAACCAACACUCGUUUAAUCGAACCAUAUAUUAACUAACCCCAGUUUGAUUCAAGAUUAUAUAAGUAGUAACAUUAUGUUAGGUAGGCCAUUAUAAUAAUAGAUAACAUCAGUUUAUACGAGAUAUUAGAAUCACCAACGUUUGGUUAAGAUGUUCAUCAACAUAAUUUAACUCACUAUAUAAUAACUAAUGGAUAGGGCAACCUAAUAAUAAUUCCUUCAAAAGGAGAUAAUAAAAGAUGACUAUCGCAACUAUUGUACUCCUAACAGUUAGUUAAUAGGAUCAGAUGAAAAACUAAACUAUUCAUCAUUACGUUGAUUUAAGUGUACCGUAAUUGUCAUUUAAUCAAAUGGAAGACCUCAGUUAUCACUGAGGUCAUGGUAAAAGUCUCAAAAGAAAGGUGGUAUUAAUCUUUAUCCAUCUUUAACGAAUUAUGCAGGUAAAACUAAGACAACAAUUUUGGGAAAAAUGUCAAAAUCUGGGAAAUAUCCAGAUCUGGAAAAUUUCCAGAUUUAUUAGCCGGAGAAGACGAAUGUGUGGCGGCACCACGCCGGAGUUCCGCCGGAGAUGAAUGGACCACCCACGAUGAUGUGGGAUUUUUAUAGAGGAACAAAGGUGAUGCAUCCGAUCAAAGGUGGUGGAUCCGCCGGCGUGGCAAUCUGAGACCAGACCGCGGAAAAGAACACGUUUUCAGAUUGUGAAUGUCGCCGGAAAAAUGAAGUUCGCGGGCCUCCAAGCAACAGACUACUGGUGCAGCUGUAUGGGCUUCCCGCAUGAAAAUUGAUGACGGAGAUAGUGAAAAUGAUGGUUCUGGCAGAUGAGGAAGUAUUGAUGAUGAUGAUGAUGAAGAACACGGUGAUGAAGCCCAGAUCUAUUUUAGAGGACUAGCUAUUGAAAUAUACCAUAUUUUAGGCGCUGGAUAUGAAAUUAAAGAGGAAAAGGGACUGAAAGUGGAAACAAAUCUUGAAGUUUGACCUAGGCCCCUGGCGCAUUUACACUAAUGGCGCCGAAAAAAAAAUAAUUGUAGUUUCAGUCCUUUUUUUUUGGUGGACCGGUACCUCCUCAGAGAGAUGCCGUAUGGAAGAUUUCCCCAUUCAUUAAUUAACGUGACACGUGUUAGCGCGUCAUGUAGAUAAAAAAAACUAUUUUAACAUUAAUUGUUUCCACCCAAAUUUCAGAACACGCACAUCCCCCAAAUUAAACCCUAAAUUUGCCUGACAAUCCCCCAUAAAUACUACACUCUUGCAUUGUCUUCUCAACUAUUUCAGACUCUUCUCUCACAAGCCUUAACUUUUGCUUUAGAAUACUAAAAUGGAUUCUCACACAUAUAUGCUAAUUAUGAAAUAUACCAUAAAUAUUAUCAACUUAAGUGUCUAAUGCAGUAAUUCUAUAUUCUAUAAUAAAACAUUUGUGUGCUCAUGCCAUUGUUCUAAUUUAAAUGCAGUGUGAUUUUAUGUUCACUAAAGUAUCUAAUUAACAGGUUUGUAAUCCUCAAUGAAGUCCACCUAAGGAGGCAAGUUCAUCACUAAUUACUGCAUUAUCUUAGUAGUCUAGAACCCUAUUGUGAUCCAUACACCUAUUUAAACUUUGCUCACAAUGACUUCCUCUUCUUAAAAGUUAGAACCGGAGUGACAUCUUAUCCAGUUUCUAUCCAUGGCUUCCAAUUUGGACAGCAUAUCAGAGGUGGAAAACUAACCUGAUUUCUGCAUUUUAAUCAUAGGAGAGCUUGAAGAAUGUUUGGAUCGUUGGUAAUUCCGGGCGCCUUUCGUUGAGCGGGUUCUUGAUGUUGGGAGAACACUGUUUGAUGGCUGAGAUGAGGAGAGGAGAAGCACUUCAGCUCAACUCGGCCUUGAGGUGGUGAUGGCUUGAUGAUGGACAUGAACUUUGUUUGAGAAGAUCCAAUCACUAGACCCUUUGCUUUUCCCCUUUAUUUUCAUUCCAUACCUUAUUUGUUUCUGAUUUUUAGAGUUCAUUUCUUAUUCGUUGCUGUUAUUUUCUUUGAUGGUGUACUUUAAUUGUGCAGAACAAGGAAGAAUCAAAGAAAGGGAUUCAGCAAUAGCUUAAUGCACUAUUACGAAAUUUUGAUCCAAACACGCGAUUCUGUUUCUUGAGGUCUCAUCGACUCAGGUAUAUUCAUUACUGGUGAAACUUUAGGGUUUCUCUUCUUCAUGAAUUGACUUUGUUCUUCAACUAAUUGUAAGAUAUCAUUAAUAUGCUUUGUGUGUUGAAGUUCUUUUUAGGAUAAAAUUGAAUGGACGAACACGUAAUUUAUAUUAAGCUUUGUGGUGUUGAAGUUCUUUUUAGGAUAAACAUGCUCCACUCUCCUUUUUCUCUAAACCUCAUUUGCUUGGCUGAGUAAAAUCUUAUCAGUUCCUUUCACCCUUUUUUUUGUGAUUUCUUUGGUGCCCUUUUGGCCAGAUGAUCAUUCUGAGUUUCUUUUACUUUAGUCUUUUCCUUUUUUGUGGCUCAAUAAUAGGAUUAUUUUUGUUGCUGGUGUGACAUGUGAUUGGAAAAGUAUAUGCAUCCCAUCUUUAUCUUAAUUUGCAGGUGGCUAUUUUAUGAUGUCUAUAGAAAUGUAGGCUGUUAAAUGCUCAAAUCCCGAGUUAACAUGCAUUUGUUUACUUGCUUAUAGCUAGCUGCUUUGUGUUGGUGGAAAGUAUAUGCAUCCCAUGUUUCUAUGCAGUAUAUGCAUGCAUGAGAUUGGCCUUAGAAGAUGGGUCUGCAACUCUGCUGCCUCAGCAACACCUGAAGUAACUCUGGCAGUUGUCCUACCUCAUCGGUUCGAGGUAACGGUGGAUUCCGGCCAUAUCAAGGGCUGGAACCGGAGCUCUUCUUCAAGAUGUCACAUGAUAUCUAUAACUAUGAAGAAGGGUAUGCCUCUAAUCUAAUUUUUCUUAAUGCCAUUCCUAAGAUUAUGUUCUUGGAAGGUGUCCAAAGCAAAGAGGUUAAUUAAUUAAUUAGAUUUGUGAUGGACCAGGUUGAUAGGAACAAUGGCUGCAGAUCACACGUUAAAGUUAAUUAUGUUCAGAGGUUGAUAGAAGUAUGAGCAUAGGAAAUGCAUUCCAUAAGGGUAUGUAACUCUACCAAUUCAAAAUAACUGAGUAGUUUUUGAAAAAUCUUUUAGGACCUUGCUUAAAAUCUUUCUGAAAAAAUAUAUCCAAGGUUUGAAUGCAAUGUUUACAUAUAUAGACAUUGACAAAAGUGGUACAAAUCACAUAGGAGGAAUUGAAGGCAUGAUUGCAAGGACUUGGCUCAAAGCUUACUGAAGCUGAAAGCUUUACCAGAUUUAUCAUUUUUGUCCUUUAUUCUUCCGAACUUACAUCCGUUUGCUUUAAUUCAGACUGAUUUAGAUGGAAAUGACACAAUUGACUACAUAGAAUUCAUCACUGUUACAAUGGAUAGGCACAGGUCACAGAGAUUAGUAGCACACUCUGGACAAAUGCAUGAAGAAGUCUAUAGAAUCUCAAUGUCCAGUGUUAUCAAUUAUUCUGUGAACUAUCAAAAGGACACAAGAGGAUUUUAAGGCCCUUACUAAGUAAGAUAGCCACCACUAGCUUGGAGUUCUCAAAAGCACUUCCUUUUGCAGCUAUCACCUCUAUGCUUCUGAAGAUGUGACAAAGCUUAGAUCAUAGUAUACUUAGGGGAAAUUGUCAUGCUUUACAGAGUUCAGAGAUGCUGAUGAGAUUCUUCUGAUUUAUGAGAGACUAGAAAUGCAUAUGUAGCUCACACAUAUUUCAGACAAUAAUAUAUUUUGUCUAUCUUCAUGCAAUGUAUUUCAAAUACAUUUCUAAAUUAUGUGAAUAGUUUAUUUUGAUCCAUUACACAAUCCAUACUUUAUCUGGAGGUGCAACUUUUAUGGCAAACAUCAGGUGCUUUUAUCUUAGUUUCGUGUUCAUUUCCUUAGUCAAACUAUUUUCUAAAGAUAAUCUAGGUGCCCGAGAGUGCAGUAAUUAAAUUCCAUAUUCAAGUCAUAAAGAAGAGCCCACCAAACAUGAAUCCAUUGAGAUUAUGAGAUUGGUCUUCAACAUUCAAGUUUCAUGCACCUUAAUUUUCUAAGCGGUCUAAUUUAGUUUACUUCAGUUUUGCAAACAAAAAAUGUAUUAUAGAUUUUUAAUUACCGUCAUUAUUCAUGUCAUACGUUAGAAACAAUGAGUUAUUUUUUAGUGAAGAAAACAUUAGACAAUGAGUUACAAACAUAAAGUGCAAUGGGUUAUUAAUUAAUUUUAAUUUAUUAUUAUAAGGUAUUAACAAUAUCAAUCUACAUUACUCACUAAAUAUGAAACAAUAUCAGUUAGAGAUAAUUUUGGAGAAUCUUGGAUUCGUUUGUAAGUGGAUAAUAGAGAUUGGAGAAUUUUGGAUUAGUUUGUAAGUGGAUGGUAAAGGCACAUAAGUUACAAACGGGAAGUGCGAUCAAUAUUAACAGUUAUAGCAUAUGAAUCUUUAUCAUUAAUUUUUAAUAAUAUUAUAAUAUUAAAUGUUAUUUCAGAAUAAAGUGCUUACACGGUAAUAUAUAUAUAUAUAUAUAUAUAUAUUGUACGGGGAAUGAACAUUUUAAUGGAAAUUACUUUCUGGAAGAUAUAUUUCAUAACUUAGCAAUUUCAUCUCUGAUGCACAAGUUAAAGAGUAAAAAGCUCACACAGGUGUGAACAUUUUAUAUUUAAACAAAUAGAAUAAUACAUUAUAUUACAACUUCUUAUUUAUUUUUUAAAUAAAUUAAGGAGUAAAUAUAUGUAUAUAUAUAAAUGAAUAAUAAUUUAAUCGUGAAAUGCGGGUAUUAGAAAAAAUUAAUAUUUAUAUAUAGUUUACUUUUAACUAUGUAUUAUAGAGUACAUUAAUAUUUAUAAACUAAUAGAAGAAUAUAUUGAUUUUAAUAUAAUUUAAGUAUUCAUUUAAAUUUUUUAGUAUGUGAAUUUUAUGAUAAUUCAUAUCUUAGUAUGUGAAAAUUUUAAUUUUUCAAUUAUUUUAAGUCAUAUAUUUAAUUUUUAUGUGUUUUUAAGCAAUUAUUUCCUUGCUGUAAAAAAACAAUUAUUUCCUUUUGGAGAAGAUGGAUUCAAUGAAGGUACUACCUCUGUUGCUAUAUACCUGUCUAGAGAGAGAAAAAAAACACACAUAUUAAGAAGUGCAAUUAAUUUUGUUAAUUUUCAUGAAAGUAUUAUUUGUUUUCCUAUUUCAUUCUUUAGAAUGCAUUUUAUCUUUCCUCAUUUAUUGUUCCUAUAAGGGUAUUUCUCGGAAAAACAUCAUUUAAUGCUAUAUUAAAAUUCUAAGUGAAAAGAUAUAAAUGAAUAAUUUUUUUCCUCAAAGUGAAAGCGUAAUAAGGAACGAAAGUAGUAUUCCAUUAAGGGAUGAGCAAUGAGCCAAACUGGGUGAAAGAGGCAAACUGGGUGAAAAAGGCAAACUGUCACACUAAUAAAUUGUAGUUUGGUUUUAUUAUAUUCUAUUUCACCAUUUGUUUCGUGAUAUAUAGAAUACGAAAAUUUAUAAUGAAAAAGAAUUGAAACAUUUUGUUAUCCUAUUUCCAAGUAACUAAAAUAGAAAGAACAAUUAAAAAAUAGAAUAAUUUUUGUAAACAAACAAAACACUACAACAACGAAAAUUAAACGUUCAAAAAAUGCCUAAUAUUGGCUUUUUUAUUAUAAAAUUAUUAGUCAAGGAAUUAAUGUCAAGCAUUGAAUUCGCACAUAAAAAAUACUUUUAAAAAAUCAAAAAAAUUAAACAUAAUUUUCGUGUUAAAAUUCAAAAAAGAAAAAAAAAAUCAAAAAAAGUCUGAUUGCAUUGCAUCAUUUGAGAGCAACAACUAUAUAUAUUUCCUUACUCAUAGCAUAGCACCAAACUAUUUUCCAUUACAACACAAGUUAUUUUUCCUUUUCUUCUGAGUAUUUACAUCAUGAUCCUCGCAUCAGUAAUCUUUACCAAAUAAAUCCUACAACUCAUGAUUGGAAAAUUGUUGUUAGAGUCAUCAGAGUUUGGAAUAUAGAAGUCGAAUGGGAAGGGAAUCCUCCAUCAAUCUAUAAUCUAUUGUUGAUGAAUCGAAAGGUUAGUAACAAAAAACACUAACUUUAUUUUUAAAUAUCCCAAUAUAGUUUACUUUACUUCAAAGACUUACAUCGAUAUGAACCUUCUCCAUUGGUAGGUCAAACAAUACACGUAGAGUGUAUGCUAAGCAAUUCAGAACGCUUUGCAAAAAUAAUCAAUGAGUGAUUAGUAUACGGCUUUAAAGAUUUUUCGUAUAGCAUAAUUUCCAAGGUUUAAGUGCAUCUAGGCACAAAUAUAAGAUACAUUUAGUGAAUAAAACAAGGAUAUUUAAAUAUAAUGAAAGUAUGGUUCCUCUGCGUGAGAUGAAGUUUGACAACGUGCAUGAUGUUCUUAACCCUGACUUCGAUGAGAAAUACUUGGUUGGUAAAUAAAUCACUUGAUUUAAAUAAUUUCACGUAGGUUAUCACUUGCAAGCAUUUACGUUAACAUGAAAACAUAACUAAUGGGGGAAAUUACGCACAUCGAAAACUAUCAAGAAUAUGAGCAGGACGGAGUGGCAACCAAUAUCAAACAUUGAAAUCGAAUCUCAAGGGCAAGUUAGCUUUUAUCAUAAUAAACCGAAAAAACAAAAAUAUUUUUAACUGCCGACAAAAAAAUUAAGCGACAUUUAUUGAUUAUUUCUGCAGGAAAAAAUUUAAAUGUUUGUUAUACGACGAAUUUAUCAAUGAUUUGCAUGCAGUUCUAUGUCCAGGAGAUAACAAGCAUGUUGUUGUUAUCAUAUUACUGGGAGCAGUAACAAAGCAUCAAGAUACAUUUUAUAUUUUUUAUCUAAAUUCUAAAAUAAACUUCUCUAUAAAACACAAACAUGUUUAAUAUGUAAAUAAUAACAUUCGACCACUAAAAACAUCCGAGCACUUUGUUAUUGUUCGAAUUGUUACACGUACAUAAAUUCUACCACACGGUAAACUCCAAUUACCAUAAUUUAAUUAAUUUGAUUAUAUUCAAUUAAUUUAAUUUUUUUAUGUUUAAAUUAGGUAUAAACUGUUAGUUAAUGUUGCGGAUAAUAUUGAAUCAGCAACUCUGUCAAUUUUUUAUCGUGAUGGUUGUGCUUUGCUCAAUCAAAAAAGCAAAGAAAUACUAGAAAAUAUGAAAAAGGUGAACAUGUACAUGUACAUAACACUAAUCUUUAAUUAAAUUAUGAAUUGAUAAGAUACUAAUUUUUUUCUUUUUAUUUAAAAUUAAUAUAGAGUGACAGCAUGGAACCCCCCAAAAGAAAUUGGUUGUGCUUUGCUCAAAUACUAGAAAAUAUGAACAAGGUGAACAUGUACAUGUAAAUAACACUACUCUUUAAUUAAAUUAUGAAUUAAAUUAUAGAGUGGCAACAUGGAACGUCCCCUUUCAAAGAAAUUGGUGAUUUGGUGCAUAAGCAAAUUAUAUUCAAGGUAGAAGAAAAAGACAACUUCGACAUGAAGUUUAAAUCAACAUUUAACGUCCUCAAAAUUUGCACAACCCAUGACAUGAUUUCAAAAAUCAAAUCAAAGGUCAAAUUUCAUACUCUAAUUUCUAAAUCAUUGUUGCUUAUAACUACAUUAUUGAAUUUAUCCACAAAUAUUACAUGACAUCAAAAUCAUUUAUCUUUACUGUGAAUACUACAGGAUUUAGAACUCGCCAUUGGGAGCUCGAGAAUGAUGCCCAAAUGAUGUCAUUUAACAAUAUUGAGUUUUGGCAGUUUUAAAGUGUAACCUCACGUUUUUUUCGGCUACAUUACAUUUACACCACAGUCGAACAUUUACCAUUAUUCGAAAGUUUUGUUCUAUUUUCACAUAUCGAUCUCAUAAAUUUGCCCCUAAAACACUGUGCUUUGCAGCAACAACUACGUCAACAAUGGUCUAUUUAUUUUCUCAAAAAACUUUAUGCUUCAAUAAAAAAGAAACAAAAACAAAUGUGCAGAAAUACUGAAAUAAAAUAAAACCAAACCACAUCACUUUGAUUAACCAAUAAAAUUAAUUAAUAUUUAAUCAACAAAUUUUAAACAUUCAUUCAAAAUUCAAUUCCCCGUGCAAGGCACGGGUCAUAAACUAGUAAUAGAGAAAUUGAAUUGGCAUUCAUUAAUUAACGUGACACGUGUUAGCGCGUCAUGUAGAUAAAAAAAACUAUUUAAACAUUAAUUGUUUCCACCCAAAUUUCAGAACACGCACAUCCCCAAAUUAAACCCUAAAUUCCCAACCAUAUUUUAAAAACAUACCACAUGAAGAGAGAUAUGGAAAGAAAAAAGGGAUUGUGCGACUUCAACCGCUGAAGUUUUUGGAAAGAAUUCAACGAAUUGCUUUUUCAGCCAAUCAUGUUUCUAAAACAAUAAAAAAAAAGUCUAUUAAUUAAUAUAAUUAAAUUCCAUUAACCAAUUAACAGACGAAUCUCGUCUCUCGUGCGGUAAAGCAUUUUCCUAAAAUAAAAUUUAAAAAUAAAUAAUAUAUUUGAAAAAAUUAACAAUAAUAAAAUAGGGGGAAUUUUCCAUACCAGUGGAAAUAUCGGGAAAAAAAAUUUACUGAUCUCUUUCUCUCGGUAGUCGGUUGUGUAAAGAAUACAGAGGGAAUAGACUCACUGUCUGUUUCUCAUUCUCAAAUCGAAAAUCCAUCCCUCCUCCCUUACCACGUGUCUUCUGCCACCGCUCGCCACCAACUUCAGGCCACCCUGCCACCGUCGCCGCCAAUUUUCCGGGUUUCAUUCUCAUUCUCUUCGUCUCUCUCUCUCUCUCUGUAUGUUUUCAAUUAUAAUUAGGGUUCGGCUUUGAUUUUUUCAUGUUCUUGUUUGUAUAAUUGAUCACUAUCUUGUGUUGAUUUUGCUGUCAAUGAUUAUAUUACGGUUACAUUCUGUUAUGCUUUUUGAUUCUUCUGGUUCUCCUUAUUUUAUCUUACUUGCGCUAGGUUUUAUAGAUUUUUGUAAAUCAACUGAAUUAAAGUCUGUUAUGUGAUUUCUAGAUCAAAUCAUUUCCCAUUUGUAACGAUUCCAAACUCAACCUAGUGGUUUAAGUUAUGGAGGAGCAAUUCAUACUUAGAGUUCCACCUAAUGUCGCGGAGCGGAUAGAGCGUCUUCUGAAUGAAAACAAUCCUUCUUCAUCUGAAGACAAGUCAUUAGAUUUGUCAUUUAAUGAGGAUGGAAGGAGCGGUACAUUUGCGAUCGAGGAUGAGCACUUCCCAGCUUCUUUAUUAGACCUUCCUUGUGUCGUUGAAUCAUACAAGACUUAUGAUGACAACUCUUUGAUUAAGAGUGCUGAUAUUGGUCAGGUGAAGUAUCCAUAAUUAUUCUCUGUCGUAAUUUUACUCCUUAGGUUCAUACAACUUACUAACUGCCUGCAUUAUGAACCCAACUAACAGAUGAUUAUGGUGAGGGAAUCUGGUGAUGCUGCUCCAGAUGAGAUUGAGUACAGGCAUGGCCUUACCCCUCCCAUGAGAGAUGCUCGCAAGCGUAGAUUCCGCAGAGAACCUGAUCUUAAUGUAUGCUGUUCUUUCGCAUAAUGUUAACUUAGCAUUACCUCUCUAAAUGUAUAUGUGUGUGUCAGCAUGUUCGAUCUCUUAGUUACCUUAAUUUCCCCUCAUUUUGCAGCCUGAGCUUGUAUCCCGUGUUGAGAAAGACCUUCUCAAAAUCAUGGCAGGAGGAACAGCUGACAGUUUUGAUAUCCUUUUGUCUUGUUUGUUUCAAAAAGCUUAUUAUUGAGCAUUCUAAGAUUAGAUACACAAAUGUAUGAUUCCACUUUAAGAUUUCUCUCUUUUAAAUUCAUGGUUGCUGACAAUUUUGAUAUCUUUUUGUCCUUUUUGUUUCAAACAUCUAUUUAUAGAACUUCCCGAAUCUUAGAUACAAAUUUAUGACUCCACUUCAAAAAAUUUCUCUUAGAAAUUCAUGGUUGAUGAGAUCAUUGUCGUUGCUUACUCUUUUGCCCCUUUUAACACAUUAGCUUUUCUCUCCUUUGCAUUGGGUUCAUGGGAUAAACCAGAAUAGUAUUUUGCAUCAAUGGCAAAAUGAAGUUUUAGUCUGUUUUAUGUGCAUGUGGCACAUACACUCUAGAGCAUGUUAUCUCAAAAGAUGCACAUUUUAGUUUGUGAUUUAACAUGAUUUUCUGACUUAGAUGUGGUUUCCAUAAGUGAAACCGAGCACAUACUUUGUUGAUUUAUUGAUAGUGUAAAAAAGCUUAACUUUGGAUAUUUCCUUGACCGAGACUCACAUGUGGUAGCAGCUGAGCAAGAAGGGGAUGAGAAUGUGCGAGGUGCUAAUAAAAAAACUGCACCUACACCUGAACCAAAGCAUGAUGCUCCGGAGACUCUUACAAAUGCAGGGGAUCCUGAUAGGAGUGACUCUGAUGAAUCUGAUGACUCAGUUUGACCGAAAUUAGCAAUCAAUGAGUGUUUGUAUCAGUGAGGGAAGCCUGAAUUGUAUAAUUAUUUAUGGUAAAUUUCAAUCCCAUCUACAAUGUUUAAAUCGGCUAUGAUGUUGAAUUUUCUAUCCAUCUUGUGUAUUUUCUUACUCGCUAACUGAUUUGUUGUAUUACACCGAUUGUUGUACAUUAAACUACCGCAUUUUAGUUUGCGGUAUGUUGUGCUUUCGUACACACUACAAACUAGAAUGCAGUGCUUCAAUAAAACUUCACUAAGUUUGUGGCUGUUAGUUAUUUAGCUUCCGUGGGACAUAUGUUGAGGUAGUUAAUUUUUGACUCGUAUGCGGUAAAUAAUAGAUUGUGGAAAGAAAUGUGUACAUCUAGCUUCCCAAUUUUUUUUCAGGAAUAGCUUCCCAAUUAAAUUUUAUUCAGGAAUGAAAACUCAGAAAUGCUGAGGAUAUUUUUAUAAGUUACAGGAUUCAAGGUGGUGUGUAUCAGUGUAUGUGAAUUUGUGGGUGGGGUAUUUAGUUUUGUCUAACGAACAAUGACAGUCAUUUCUUGAAGGCCCAAUAUCUCGUUUGGCUUAUCCUAAAGCACUAAAUUUUGCAACUACAUACCUUGAGAGUAUACAUCACAAUGACCAUCAUACGAUAAGUAUACAGAUGUGAAGAGCAAAAAUACAUUCAAAUGAUCAUUGAAUUUCAUGCUAAAAGCAUAUGGACCUUAAGACCAUUACAGCACCAGAGCAAAAAUAACACUAGAAAUAGAUAACAAAUAUGGAAGGUUUGACACUUGCAGCUUCAAACUCACACCAACAGGACCUAUAGGUCCAAGUGCCGUAGAAGGCAAACUCCCACCUCCAGUGCUCAAGAUAGAACUGACAUGAAAAUAUUCAAUUGAUUAGAUUUAAAAGUUAAACACGAUUAUAACUUGUAAAUCUAAUUGAUAAUGGGUGUACAAAGAGAGAGUCACAUUCUCACCUUCCCGCAUAUAUACAGGAUCCAUAACCUGCAACAAGAGAACCAUUGUUAGUUGCUUAGCUCUCAUCCUUCAAACCCUCAACACGAGGUCAUGUCAAUGAUCAGAAAUAAGCAUUUCAGUCAUAAACAUAAAAGAAUGAAAUAGUAACUAGGAUUUAGUGCUGCGAAAACCCCUCAAGUCACUGCAGUCAAAGUUUAGUAGCCGGAUUUAAAAUGACAAUCAUCACGUUCACAUAAAAUUGAUUUUUUCAAAUUUGCAUGGCUAUAAAGUCAUGACUGCAGUGACUUAAGGGGUUUUGACAGCACUAAAUCCAAACCUCACAAGUUUAGAAAUUUUGGAAAGAAUCCACCACGAUUUUCUACCCCCUUUAGGAGUUUCUAAAUUAUGCAAUCCAAGUUAAUCAGUUUGAGGUUGCAAUAAGAAGACGUUUCUAGGACUUGUGAAGUUAAAUGAGGUUUUAUUCUCAAGCCUGGGAUUCACGAAUGACACCAAGCUGCCUCAAGAAAAAGAGAGAUUGAUCUCCUAAUCCAAGAUUUUACUUUCACUCAUCCAGCUUAUGUUUAACCAAGGAAGGCGUAAUUGGAUGUGCAUUUAUAAAUUUCAGUAUUGAUUCUCCACGAUUAAAACCUAGGCUCUGCUAUAUAUGGAUUUAAUCAAUUAUAGGAUUUGAUAGUUGGAUUGCAUAACAUUAGUCUACACAAAUUAAUUUUCUCAUUUGUGUAUCCAAAUAUAAAUCAGUUCAGUUUUGCCAUAAUCUCAGAAUUGAUUCUUAGGACACUCAUCCAAGCAUGUGCUGUGUUGAUGUAAUUGUGAAAGUGUGCAAUUUGAAAAGCAUUUGCUACAUUAGCUACAUCAUGGUGGAUAAAAGCAAAAGCUAAGGGAAGUUGCUUCUAUCCACUGUGAUUUUGGCUUCACUGUAGCUUUCGGACGAGUUUCCAAACAAGCAGAACAUGCAAUAAGAAUGGAAUCAAAAAAUAAAAAUGGACUUACUAGGAUCCUCGUUAGUUGUUGUAGCUGUACCAUCAAAGUCACAUGUACCACCAGCACCAUGCAUUUUCUGAAAAUAAUCAUUAUAAGCAUAAGAAGCAUGUCUCUUCACAUCAUUGGGGAAAUAGCACUGCCUCCCUGCUUGAAUAGCCAUACAAUUUGCUUGGCCUUGUCCACAAGCCCAGCUCAAACCACCUUGCAGCUUCUCAGUGCUUGCAUCAUCUUUAGCCACACAAAACAAUGCUGAAGAAUUUCCAAUAUUAUGGUUAGAAGCACCACCAAACCUCAAAGGAUAAACCCCACUUCCAUUAGUAUAAAAAACACCCCAAUGCUUUUCUGACACAGGACCAUUUCUCAUGUCUUCAUUAAACAAUUCAUACAUGUAGGUGUUAAUUGGUAUCUUUGGUUGACUUGGAGGACCAGAACCGUUCAAAACUCUUUUAAUCAAAUUGUUAUUGUAAGUCUCAGCAUUCUCUAUAGUUGCAUCUUGUUCAUUAGCUCCACCAAAACUUGGCCAACCAGUCUCUGUGACAAUGAUGGGUAUGUUAUUGAAAUUGAAGGCUUCUAUUGAAUAAUAAGUAGCAUCCACCAUAGCAUCAAACAUGCUGUUAUAAUGGAAGAAGUGUGUUUGAGUCAACAAUUUGCUUCACUGAAGAAAGGGAUUGGGAAAGUGCAUACUCAUUGGGAGAAUGGCACUCUCUCUAGAGGGUCCCAAAAAAGGGAGGGCUUAUAACAUGAAAAAGAUUGGUGUCCUUCAAACCUGAGGAGUGGGGAAUUGGGAAUCCUGAAAAGUAAAGGGGCCGCAAAAGAGGAAAAGCCUAGGAUAUAUCCUGGACUGGGCGCGAACCUUACUCGAAGUAGGUUGCGCACCACACUUAUGAGAUGAAUAUGCAGGACUAAACUGGGCACAUUGGGAUGAGUAGNNNNNNNNNNNNNNNNNNNNNNNNNNNNNNNNNNNNNNNNNNNNNNNNNNNNNNNNNNNNNNNNNNNNNNNNNNNNNNNNNNNNNNNNNNNNNNNNNNNNGCUAUGACCUGAUUACGAAUUCGUCGCUAUGUUUUUGUUGAUCCAUGAUGCAGCAACUGAUUGAGAUUUUCCAAUCCUUAAUAUUUCUUGAUCAGUGACACCAACAAUCACUUCAAUGCUGGUAUUUGAUAGGGCUUGUAGCAUGUGUGAAUUAGCAUCAAAUAGGCGCACAUGAGUGAUUUGAUGAGCUUUUAGAAUGGUAACCAUAUUUGAAGCAGAUGGAAGAUCAGAAACAUGAGUGCCAAUGUUUACCCCCACAAAUGCACCUGCAUGAUCAAGAAUCAAGAAUGUGUGAUCUACCUUCAACUAAGAAAAUAUGUGCACUCACUUAUUUCUUGCUUGUCCUUUCAAGCACUCUAUGUCUCUAACUCCUAACCUUAAAAUAAAAGUGAACCCUCAAAUUCGUCCCUGAAAAAGAAAAUAUCUUGAGCAGUGGGUGAAUGUGUCAAUUGUGAGUCAAGUUGGUUCAUCUGUCACUUUGGUCAACAACUUUUGAAGUGACGGAGAGACCAACUUGAGGGAUGAUUAACAGUUUAACACAUUCAUGGACUUCCGAAAGCAUUUCUUUCUUUCAUGGAUGAACCUGCCUAACUCUGUAUCGUUGGACGAAUUUGAGGGUUCACUCUUAAAUAACUAAACAGCAAAAUGUGCCAGGCAUAGGGUCAAUAUAUUUUAUUCAAGACAAUGAAAAUUUUUAAGCUUUAAACUAUUGCUCCUAACUAUCAAAUUAAAUUAGAUGAUGCAGGAAACACCAGUUGAAGGAAUAUGGAUCUAUGAAGGAAAAAUUAUUUGGACCAUUAAAAAAUAGUUUAUAAAUAUUUCCAAGUAAAAAAUUAACUGAUAAUGCAGCCUUUACAAAUGAAAAGCCAUGGUAUAAAGGUGAACCUUGCAAUAGUUCACCACAGAAUAUCAUUCUCCUUGAUACUUAUAAAAGAUCUGACAGACCCACAAGAAAAGAAAAGGGUAAAGGUGCAUAUAUUACCUUUUGCAUUGCUCACAGUGGCAACCAUGAGCAACAAAACACUGGUGAGCAACUUUAUAAGCUUCAUCACUCUUAAUAUUGUUGCCAGAUGAAGCCUGAAGAAGUGAAAUCUUCUUUAGUACUUCAGCAAUCAAACGAAGUCAUAAGUUAAAUAAACAGAGUCAAUAGACAAUAGUUAACAAAUACAAGCACUAAUGAAGUAUUGCUGAAUGAGAAGAUAGAUAUUUGUGAUAACAAAGAAGCAACAGAAGGUGGAGAAACAUGAGGUUAGCACAAGCUUUAGUGCUUUACAAUCAAACUUUACUAUUUGCCAUAUAAAAUAUACUUACAUGAAUUUAUAGAUUGGUUGAGUUGGGUUUGGGAGCUGUACCUUUUUUUUCCAGUUUUCACUCCUUUUGUCUUUGUAACAGCACUUUAGUUGAAAAUUGAGACGUUUAUGUUUAUGUUAUGCGUGCCACUACCAUUGAUUUUCCCUCCAAUCCCAAUACAAAUCUAAAGCCAUUCUUUUUCUUUUUUUUCUUAUGCAAUAGCAAUUCCAAACCGAAGCUUAAAAAUGAGCUAAAAAGUCAAAGACGCGUUGCAUAUUAUUAUGAUUAGUGCUACUGUUUCCUCGUUUCUGCCCCUGCCUUUCGAAUUUCUGUAGCCUGGCUGCACAACUGGAUAUCAAUAUCACAUUACACUAUAUUAUGGUGUAAGACACUUAGACACUCACGGUUAUAGCAUGAGAAGCAUAAUCAUGAAUAUAUAUUUAAAUUUUAUGAUCAUAUUGCAUGAAGGGUAAGCCACGGUAGUGAAGACAUCACAUAUUUCAUAAAAAAUCUUAAGUUAAUAUUUGUAUGACUCCUUUCACUUAUAUAUUACUCAAGACUUUCAUUUUUAAUGUGAGACUUCAUUUUAUUUUUAUUUAAUAUUUACACUUGAAGAAUUCCCAACAUACUAAAAAUAAAUUAUAACUAAUCAAUCUAAUCAUGAAUGGUUUAGUGUCUGGAAUGGGCGGAACAUAAUUGAGUAAGCCCGCCCAAAUUGAGUAAUCAGAUGAACGAAGGACACCUUGGCGGGAUUCACGGAACAACAUCGAAUCCCGCCCUUCCUUUAGUCAGGCCCACACGCCAGCUGGAAGAUUCCUUUAGAUUUGUCUUAUAUGCAUAGAGACUUGGGCCCCGGUUGUCAGGCCCAAGUACAGUAAAAGUCCACAUCAUGAUCACUUCCUCUAUAAAAGGAGAGGUCAACACCUUGUAAAAAGUACCUUUUGAACAUUUAAUGAGAAUAUUCCUUUUACGAUAUUUUUAGUACUCUGCUAGGGUUUACUUUCUGUCAGUCUUACGUCGGAUCUCCCUAGUACAGAACAUUGGCGUCGUCUGUGGGUCUUACCUCGAUCUACAACUUGACGUAGACGGUGAGCUCUAAGAUCCAUGGAAACCCGUUCGUGUGGCGUGAGCCGCCGAGAUCAUCGCCGGAGGGGGGGGUGGUCGUCACGACGGCCGCGGCGGCGGACGACACAACAACCAUGAAGUACCUCAAGAGCCGGAGCAGGAGGCUUCUUCGGCAGGGGUUCACUCGGUGGCACAGUCACCGGUGUCGUUGGUGAAUGCUGCUCCGGGAAGACCUUCAGAUCUGAUCGCUAGAUCAGAUCUAGGAGUCAGGCGACGAUCAGCGCCGCCUGAAUACGUGAAUCUGGACGACUUCAAAAACAGCGUUCCGAGAAAAGCACCAGAGGUAGUGACGGGAAUCACUCCGGCGGCCUUGCAACAAAUGUUGGAUACUUUGCAAAAAGUACAAAGCCAGAACGAGCAGUUGCAAGCCCAGGUGGAGUAUUUAACCCAACGACAAGACUAUAAGCAAGAACAACGGCUCGAGGCUGAGGAUGUUGUCGAGUUCCAGCCUUUUGUUCCCGCCAUCACACGGGUGGGUAUACCAAAGCACCUGCAGACCAUGGGGCACUGGACGCCUUCUCUGGCGACGUUGAUCCUAUGGAACACUUGAGAUAUUUCAACACUAAAAUGGUGAUCGGCGGGGCAACGGAUGCGGUAAAGUGUCGAUUGUUGCCUUCUACGUUUAAAGGCAUGGUGAUGCAGUGGUUCAUUAGACAACCGCCCUUCUCCAUCGAUAAUUUCACCGAUCUAUCUACUAAGUUUCUGACUCAAUUCUCCGCCAAUAAACCACAAAAGCACAAUGCUUGAUCUUAUCAGCAUACAUCAGCAACCAGGGGAAAAGUUAAAAACUACAUGGCACGCUUCAGCAAGAUGCAGUUCAGUUGGAGGAGGACAAUCCGGACGUAUGUUUGGCGUCUUUCAAAAAUGGUCUCCGGGCGGGUGAUUUGAAUCGGGACUUAACGAGGCGACCAGCAAAAGACAUGAUGGACCUUCGUGCCCGUGUUCAGGAAUUCAUAUUAAUUGAGCAAGAUGAUCAGAAAAACAAGAAAGAGAGGAAGGACGCAAGCAAGCCCAAUCCGGCGGGGUGUCACAGGAUAAACCUAAGGCGGGGAAGGAGACCAGGGUAGCACAAACCCCCCGUGUGCCAAGACCGGGACCAUAUCAAAACUCCAAACCAGGAUUUCAAAAUACAUGGCACAGAAAUUCUCAAGGUCCCACUGUAGCCACAACUGGUCAGCAUGGUGCUUCGCCAGCUCCAGUUCCACUUACCAAGUUGAAUGCACCCUUAAGCACCAUUUUAAGGGCAGUUGGGCAAACAAACGUUGUGCAGUACCCGCUACCACCACGGCGGCCGCCAGCUAAUGUAGAUACCAAUAGGUGGUGCGAGUACCACAAAGCGUUGGGGCAUACGACAUAUAAUUGUUGGAACUUAAGGCGGGAAAUUGAUCGUUUGAUUAAGGCUGGCCAUUUGGCAAAUUUCGUUAAAGACACAACAACGCCAGAGCCCGCUAAGAUAACUCAAGGGGACAAAGGCAAAGGGAAGGAGAUAGUUGAAGAGUUGGGCGAUCCUGUUGGGGAAUGCUCAUCUAUUGCAGGAGGAUUCGGCGGGGGUGCAAUUUCAAGUAAGGCUAGAAAACGCUAUGUGGCGGCAGUACACUCAGUACAGGAGGCGAACGAAGGUGAGUGUUGGGUGAAUCAUUCCCCUAUUAUAUUCACACCUCAGGAUUUUGCGCAUGUGAUCCCCCAUGACAACGAUCCAAUUGUGGUAACAAUCAGGGUUAACAAUUAUGUGACGAAGAAAGUAUUUUUAGACCAGGGAUCUUCGGCGGAUAUCAUUUAUGGAGAUGCAUUUGAUCGCCUGGGGUUAAAGGAAUCCGAUUUGAGGCCAUAUAAAGGAACCUUGGUGGGAUUUACAAGGGACCGUGUCAAUGUGCGGGGAUAUGUGGAAAUACCAACUGCUUUUGGAGAAGGGGAGUUUGUUAAGAAAUUUCAAGUAAAGUACUUAGUCUUGGCGUGCAGAGCCAACUACAAUGUACUCUUGGGGCGAGACACCCUCAACAAGAUCUGUGCGGUCAUUUCAACUGCUCACUUAACUGUCAAGUAUCCAGCCUGUAAUGGGAAGGUCGGGAUACUGCGCGUAGACCAGAAUGCAGCAAGAGAGUGCUAUUUACGAAGCGUGGCGCUUUAUGGACGAAAGGCCGCCAAGGAAAGUCUGAUAUGUAAAUAAGUAACACAAGAAAGGGGGGGUUUGAAUUGUGUUCUUAAAAAUUACUUGUUAGAACUUUAGUUUAUGAAAAGAAGAUAAGUUCUUAAGAGAAUUGUUCUGGUGACUUUUCAAAAACUGUUUAGUGCAGCGGAAGUAAGUAAAUAAAGCAGAACGAUCAGCACACAGGAAUUUAUACUGGUUCACCCUAAACGAUUGGGCUACGUCCAGUACUUGGCCACCACCAAGAUUUUCACUAGCAAGUAUCAAGGACUUCUCCAAUACAAGUAUUAGACAGGACUUCUCCAAGUAUUAUCACGGACUUCUCCAAGUAUUGUACAGGACUCCUCCUAGUAUUAUCACGGACUUCUCCAAGUAUUGUACAGGACUCCUCCUACAAUCAACAAGAUUGUUUGGCUCUACAAGAAAUCUCUUCUCAAAAGAGUUGGUGUAGACAAUUUAUGGCACUGGAACUCUCAAGUGUUUUGGGUUCUGAAAGAAAGGACGUUGGAACACACAAGAGUUCAGAAUCUAAGAGAGAAGUAAAGGAAGAGGUUUGACUCUUUUAAGGUUUGGUAUUCUCUCUUGAUUUAGCAGAGGUAUGAGAUCGGAUUUGACUCUUAGGAAAUCUGCUGUGAGCUUUUAAUUCUUUGAAGGAUGUUUGGAGUAAUUGUUCUGAGUUCUUUCUUUUCAAGCAAUAAAUUUUUCUCUUCUCUGCCACUUCAAUCUUCAGAUAUGUCCUUUAUAUAUGAUCUUGCUAAUUGUGUAGCCGUUGAGACACAAAAUCUGGCCGUUGUUUGUAGCCGUUGUGAGUGUCAUCUAACCGUUGAUUCAAAUCUCCGGUUGGUAGCUUCAUUAAAUGCAUGCUGCUGUUCAAAGCUAUCCUUUAGCCAAAAAGGUGUACUUUGUCAGCUAGUAGGUGGUGAUAGCUUUGGGCUACUUUGCAGAAGAGAGACAUUUAGGAAAAGUGAUGUUGACGUGUUGUCCUUUUUCCUUUUCAUUGGUCAUUGAGACUUCUCUCUACAAAGGUAAAUCAGUUUGCACGUGACCGGAUUAGUUUCCUUCUGACUANAGCAUGGGGCANAUAGUUGAGAUACNAUUUUGACUUUCCCGCUCAAAUGCUUUUUCAGAAAUACUGAAGUAUGACGUGGGCAUGAACGAUACAGAAUGAGUGUCUUCCUCGGUUGCUGGACGGUGCGGUCAUAUCUUGCGUAACUUCUUUUNNNNNNNNNNNNNNNNNNNNNNNNNNNNNNNNNNNNNNNNNNNNNNNNNNNNNNNNNNNNNNNNNNNNNNNNNNNNNNNNNNNNNNNNNNNNNNNNNNNNAAAAGUGCUUGCAGUAGAGUGUAUAGCUGGGAUCUUCAGAAAGAACUUUGAAAAGGAUGUGACGUGUGUCUUUUUCUCUUCAGUGGUCACGAGACUCUUUCUCAAAAGUAAUCAGUUUGCACGUGACAAGAUUAGUUCUCUCUGAUUAAGCGCUGGGGCCAAAAGUGAGAUACCAUUUUUGACUUUUCCGGCUAAGAGGUUUUUUUAAUUUUUGAGGUAUGACGUGGCAUGAAACGAUACAGAACAAGUGUCUUCCUUGUUUACUGGACGAUGCGGUCAUAUCUUGCGUAAACUUCUUUUUCCUUAUAAGGCUUAGACAUAUUCGUUGAAGCAUGCGACCUUAUAAUAUAUAUUUCCUGAAAAAUGUCAUUAACAUCUGGAAUUAGAUUUUAGUAUAGAAAAGUAUUUAUAAAAAUUGUUAGGAUCAAAAUAAGAUUGAAACACGUUGUAACACGUUUGAACUUAACAAUCUCCCCCUUUUUGAUAAUGACAAUUUUUAUUGAAAAGGAUAAUGAUCAAGAGUAAAAAGAAUUUAUGCUCCCCCUAAAUUGGGUAAGAUAAAAGUUUUAAAAAAAACUUAUUCAAAUCAUAUUACUCCCCCUGAGUUGUAUAAAACUUUGGUGUUAGGUUAAGGAAACAACCUUGAACAUGAUCUUAAACUUUUCUAUAAUUCCUAAUUCCUAUUUUCUCCCCCUUUGGCAUUAUUAAAAAGAAAGGGAAAAGAAUUUAGUAGAAAGGUAUAAAUUUAUUAGAAAGGUAUAAUAUGCAUAGUAAACAUGGCAAACGUUAGUUAUAAAACGAUAAGCAUGAUGGAACGAUAAAAUAUGCAUAAUCAGUGAACUAUUGUCUGAAAACAUAAAAGUAAAUGCGAAUUGUUCAGGAUAGAGAGUUGGCCAUUAGCCAAAGCGUGUCAGCAGCUGAUCGAUUUUCUGAGCAAGAGUCAUGAACUGCUGGUUGAUGUGGUCACGGUGGUCUUCAAAGUCUUCUCUGGUGACAAAUUGAGUCGCCAAGACUUGAGCACUUGAGCUUCCACCUUCAGUCUUGAAAUCAGCUUGAAGUCCCUCAGAUUCAUCUUCUUCUUUUCCAUCAGCAGAACUGUUCAGUUGUGACUCUGUAUCAUCUGCUUCUUCAAGCAUCUUCUCCUUUCCUUUGUCAGUGUUGGCUUUCUCAGAAUGAGAAACAACUUCAGGAAUGUGAGUGGGUAGGAGUACAAACACCCAAGUUCCAAAUUUCAGUGAGAGCGCGGAGGUCCGAUUCAUGAGAGAAUAUGGCAGAGUACCAACAUAUCCCUCAGAGACACUCAAUUUCCAGAACUCUGGAUCAGGAACUUUGCAAGCGUGAAGUUGGAACAAGUAGUUGUCACCCUCUUGUCGUUUCCAUGUAGCGGUGAGCUGAUUGCUUGAAGACUUGUCAAUCUUUCUUGCCAGAAGGUUCAGGUAGCUUUUGAACGAUCCCUUGGUAGUCCUCAAGGUGCGUCUGCGUUGGAUAGCAGAGGACACUAGCGUCUGAAGACGCCUCUUUCUUGCUUGAGAAAAAUAGAGAACAGUACCGGAUCUGCUUGCCUUCUUAGUGCUUGCUUUCGUGAACGGUUUGAGAGUAGAAGUCAUAUGCUCAUCGGCAAUCAAUGACUUAGGCAAAGAUUGAACAAGUUGGAAUGCAGAGGCAUUCUCUUGUGCAACGACAGUUUGGUCAGUGAUGAAAGCAGUGUUCAUGGUAGAGUUUGGUUGAGAUGUGAGUGGUUCAUUUGUUGUUUCAGUCAAGGGUUCAUUGAGGUUUGUGUUUGGUGGGAGUUUUGGCAAUGGUUCAGUGUGGUGUUGUGAGUGUGUUGGAGAGGAGUGUGGUGUUUGAGUAUUGUCAACAAACAGUGAAUCCAGAAAUUCUUUGUUGGACAUUUCAGAAGGAAUUUCUUGAUAAGGUAAGAGAGAGUUUGCUAACCUUGUGUGAAGGAUAAUUCCUCAUCAAAGAAGGCUCCUCAGGUCAGCAGANNNNNNNNNNNNNNNNNNNNNNNNNNNNNNNNNNNNNNNNNNNNNNNNNNNNNNNNNNNNNNNNNNNNNNNNNNNNNNNNNNNNNNNNNNNNNNNNNNNNCAGAAUGAGAAACACUUUCAGGAAUGUGAGUGGGUAGGAGUACAAACACCCAAGUUCCAAAUUUNAGUGAGAGCGCGGAGGUCCGAUUCAUGAGAGAAUAUGGCAGAGUACCAACAUAUCCCUCAGAGACACUCAAUUUCCAGAACUCUGGAUCAGGAACUUUGCAAGCGUGAAGUUGGAAAAAGUAGUUGUCACCCUCUUGUCGUUUCCAUGUAGCGGUGAGCUGAUUGCUUGAAGACUUGUCAAUCUUUCUUGCCAGAAGGUUCAGGUAGCUUUUGAACGAUCCCUUGGUAGUCCUCAAGGUGCGUCUGCGUUGGAUAGCAGAGGACACUAGCGUCUGAAGGCGCCUCUUUCUUGCUUGAGAAAAAUAGAGAACAGUACCGGAUCUGCUUGCCUUCUUAGUGCUUGCUUUCGUGAACGGUUUGAGAGUAGAAGUCAUAUGCUCAUCGGCAAUCAAUGACUUAGGCAAAGAUUGAACAAGUUGGAAUGCAGAGGCAUUCUCUUGUGCAACGACAGUUUGGUCAGUGAUGAAAGCAGUGUUCAUGGUAGAGUUUGGUUGAGAUGUGAGUGGUUCAUUUGUUGUUUCAGUCAAGGGUUCAUUGAGGUUUGUGUUUGGUGGGAGUUUUGGCAAUGGUUCAGUGUGGUGUUGUGAAUGUGUUGGAGAGGAGUGUGGUGUUUGAGUAUUGUCAACAAACAGUGAAUCCAGAAAUUCUUUGUUGGACAUUUCAGAAGGAAUUUCUUGAUAAGGUAAGAGAGAGUUUGCUAACCUUGUGUGAAGGACAAUGUCCUCAUCAAAGAAGGGCUCCUCAGGUUCAGCAGAGAGAAUCUUCCUUUUCUGAUAUGCAGGUUGUGGUUCAACAGUAACUUGAGAUUCUUCAAAUUGCUUCCUCAAUCUCUUUAGCUUUUUGGGUUCAGCAUUCUUGACAGACGGAGAACCUUUUCCUGAUCUGGUUCUUGAAGCGAUGGGGUUGGAUUGAGACUGCAAUGGUUCACCACUCUUCACAAUCUUGAUUCGAACAGACUGUUCUUCCUCGUCCUCAGGGAACGGUGCGAUGCGGAGAGCUGCAGGAACAGUUCUCUUGGACGGUUCCUUCUUUGACACAUCGGACAGUUCUGUCAGAUUUUUCUUCCUUGUCUGGACAGUCUGUUCAUCAGAUACCUUUUCUUUUCCUCUGGUGUUUUUCCUUGUUCUGGGCAAGUAUUCUUCAGGAACAUCAGAGGCAUCAAAGGGAAUGUGCAUUUUGCUCACAUCUCCCAGUCUGAUCGGUGAAGGAAAGAUCACAUCUUCAUUCAAGCGAUCCUCUGAUUCCAGAAACUCUUUGAUAACACCUUUCUUUUCGAAAAUAACGGUCAGCAGCGAGCCAAAAGGAAGGUAUCCUUGGCUUUUCUCCAGAUAGUUGAUCAAGUAGUUCCACAUCAAGUGUGCAGGGUUAAUUUUCACUCUUUUCAAGAUCUUGUACAAUGCGUACCUUGCAUGCGCAUUUACAUAAUUUCUUGCACCAUCCUUUGGUAAGACAACCUUGCUAAUCACAGCAUUGUUGAAAUUUACAUCAUCAAUGAGAUUGCCCACUUCCACAGUCAGUGGUUCCUCUUGGUUCUUCCAAAUGCACUUCCAGUCAUUAACUUUCGCAAACCAAUUUGGGGAAUAUUUUUCACCAACUUCCAACUUCACAUUCAGUGCUUCAGCCAUGUCGUUGAGAGUCACUGAGAUGAUCUUGUCAUUUACUUUGGACUUAAUGACUUGUCUGUGAUUUAUCACAACGGCACAGUCAUAAAAUUCCUUUACCAAAGGCACAUACACUUCGCGCUGAGCCAUGGUGUACACCGUCUCCCAGUCCUGAUGAAGUAAGUCUGCAAGCCCAGCCAUCUUCACGAAGGCAAACACCUUUAGAUCAAAGUACCUUGGGGACACAAGAGAGUUGUCACCCAGUUUCUCAGUUUUCACGGCUCCAACCUCCUUGAGUUGAACAGAGCGUUGGCGGUUGAUCCUCUCUGAUCUCCUCUGGAUGAUCUCCAUUUCUUCAGCAGAGUAAGGUGUUUUACCACCUUUCUUGGAUGGGGCCUUAGAUUUGGAAGGGGCUUUGGAAGAGGUAGCAAGAACUCCGGCCAUUUGGGAAUGAGAGGAAGUUUCAGAGAAGGCUUAGGGUUUCUUUACUUGGAAGAGAGAGAGAGAGUAAGUGUCAAAUGAAGUGAGGUGAAAGAGAGAGAAGGAAAUCUUUUGGAUAUAUUUGAUUUGGAAUAAGGAAUGGCAGUUUUGGGUGGUGUGCAGAUGGCGGUUUUCUUUUCAUGAGAGAGAAACUAUUAAACAAUUGAGCAGUUGAGACCAUGCGCGUUAAAAGUAAUAGAGAUAACUGCUUCGCAUUUAAUGUGAUGGGACCUUUCAAAGUUCACUGUUGUAGCACGUGCAAGAGUAAUGAUGCAUUGAACUAAACAAUGUCUUUGCCAGCUGUUAACCAAACGAUAUAGAUUUCCUGAGAGCAACUUCAUUGAACGGAGAGUUGUUGAACGAUUUGAUCUACUGGUUGAACAGUGAGGAGACAGAACAGUGCAGAUGUUCUUCGAAGAACGAAACCUGCAAAAUAGAAACCUUUGUUUCCAUACCUUUUAUUGAGCAGAGAGCAUAUUUAUCCUUGUUCUUAGAUCUGAAAAUCUGCCUUCUAAAAGAGGUUUCGUGAGUAUGUCAGCAAGUUGAUCUUCUGUGUGUAUAUGAGAUAUAUCAAUGUUUCCCUUUGCCACAAGGUCUCUAAUGAAAUGAUGUUUGAUCUCAAUGUGCUUUGUUCUUGAAUGCUGAACUGGAUUCUUGGCAAUAUUGAUGGUGUAAGACCUGGAUUUUCAGAACAAGUUAAGUUUCCGACUCACACGUAGAAUCAGUGUAAGCGUGACAGAAGUUUGACAUUUGAGAAAGAUUAAUGAAGAAGAAAGUUCAGGAAUUGCUUGAGGAAUGUUGCGUAGUUGUUUUCGGAGUUAGUGCGAGUCGUCUGCACACCUGCCUUAUGGCGAGCGUGUCCAGAAUAGGCUAUUUCGCUCUUAAAGCAACGUUUUGAGUGAGCUUUCGAACUCUCGGAAAAUUUAAAGAUUCUCUUUGUUUUUCCAANNNNNNNNNNNNNNNNNNNNNNNNNNNNNNNNNNNNNNNNNNNNNNNNNNNNNNNNNNNNNNNNNNNNNNNNNNNNNNNNNNNNNNNNNNNNNNNNNNNNGUGAGCUGUUUCAACAGUAGGUUCACUCACGAAUACAGUGUAGCGUGCAAGUUACAUUAGAAGAUAAUAAAAGAAGUCCAGAAUGCUGAGGAAUGUGCGUAGUGUUUCGGAGUAGUGCGAUCGUCUGCACACCUCUCUAUGGGAGCGUGUCCAAAUAGGUAUUUCGCUCUUAUAACCACGUUUGAGGGAGCCCUUGAACCUCUGGAAAAUUUAAAUUUCUCUUUGUUUCUCCACGACCAGCGUUUCAUUUGGGAACUCUGGACUGUACGCACGAUAGGUUUCACUUUCCGGAAGCUCGAUGACUCUAAUUUCUUUGCUUCGAAACCCUAGUUUUGAGCGAAGGAUGAAAACUUUUUCUAUUCGGGACUUCUAACAAAGAUUCCGUCCGCGUUUCCAGACUUGUUUCGACAUUUCCAAUCUUUCUUCUGUUGGAAGUUUUGUCGUCUGAGCAUCACAGCAAAAAGUAGUUUUUCGGGACAGACUAACUUACACCGCUUUUGGCGUUUUGGAUAUCGUUUUUCCCAAAUCUUAGAUAAUUGUUUUGAGUUCUGGAAUUCCGACGCCAGAAUCUCUCUUAGAAUUCCUUGGUGAACGUGCUGCAAAAAUCGGAAUCGCGAAAUUUUCAUUUUCCCGCGAUUUCGCCUGCCUAUAAAUAGCUCGAAAAGCAAAAAUUCCUUCAUUUUCUUCCUAUUGUGGCCGAAUUUCGUGGAGAGCAAGGGGGAGGAGAUUUCCGCGAAAACUUGACUGAUCUUCGUGCAGUUCGUCCCUACUUCUAGGUAUCGAGGUAACUAACACGAUUCCUACCUCUGAUUGUUGUUUCUGUUGCGUUUUUGAAGUCGUUUCUGUGCUCACAGUUUUGAGCUUUUUCUAAAAUUGUCCGUUUUCUUCGAUUUCUUGCUUGGGUUAUGUUCUCUAGGUUCCCAUGAGCCUAAAACCUCUGUCAGUAAUCGCCGAUUGUGAUCCAGUUGUCCAGGAUCUGAAAAACUGUUUCAAAACCCUUUUUGCUCACAUUUCGAAACUUUAUUGUCGAAAAGACUUAAUCUGACUUCGUGCCUUUAGGAUUUGUUGUCACGGAUGUCAUGAGGAUCGUUGCUGUCAAAUUUGUUUUCAGAACUGAUAACUUUGAAGUUUUUAGCCUUUAUUUUGGACCAAAAUGCCCCUGGAUAGUCAUAUUUCGACCCGAUUGUCCGAAAAUUGUUCCGACAGUUUCUUUGCCUUAGUUUUAUCCUAAAACUACCUUGUGAAUUGAUUUGAUCAAAGAAAAAGAGCCGAAGCCCUUUUUCCUUUGAGGCCGUGGACUAUUUCCUUUAGGGGGGAGUUUUCGGUUUCGAAAACUUGUCUUUUCGUACCUGAUUGUCCUAUUCUGAAGCUUUAAUGCUUUGUCUAUCGUUUAUGUAUUGUUUUGCGAUCGAACUAAUCGAUUUUGUUUGGAUUCUGCUUUGUUUUUCUCCGAGGUUCAGUUGAGGGAACUUUGGAAGACUCAGAGCAAUUGUUUGAGGAGAACUUUGUUUGCGAAGCUGGAACAGCUCGAGGUUAGGGCAACUUACUAUAUUAGCUAUGAUUGCAUGAUAGGCGUCGAUAAAUUCGACUUAUGCUUUAUCUGAUGUUGUUUAUGAUGUUGAGUUGAUGUUAUGAUACUUUUCCAUAACUUGUGAUGUUGUGCUUUUGUUGGAUGGUGCGUUUUGACGCGACUUCGGAGUGGAGAUUCAUUGAUCUGGUGAUCUUUGAUAUUUUGGGUUGGAUGAGCAACCCUAGGCAAGUCCAAAUGAGGGGUUUGAGACCUAGCCUGGUUGGUAUUUGUUGGUUUACUUAGACUUUCCCCGGGAAACUUCUUUUGGGUGGUUGGUUUUCGGAAAACGUAGAAGGAUUAGAAUUUCGAAAACUAAAGACUUGGGAAACCUAGAUUUUGAGAAAUAAACUCAUAACCUGACUAAUCUGAAUUGAAAUCAUUUUUAUUAACGUUUAAGUAUAGGAAAACUGAAGGGGAAAAUAUUUACGAAAGACGGGGAAAAGUCGACCUUUGUUGUGAGUUAUUGGAAUUGGGGAAAGCCACUAAGGUGAGCUAUGGUGAUGAUUGAAAGUCACCGAGUACUUUACGUACUCUUGUUGAUGGGGUUGUGUUGUAUUGACCGACACUAAUCCCUUGGGUUCUCUUGUUGUUGGAGCGGUGUUGUAUUGACCGACACUUAGCGUUCUUGUUGUUUGGGCUGUGUUGUAUUGACCGACACUAGACCCUUGUGUAUUCUUGUUGGUGGAGCUGUGUUGUAUUGACCGACACUUACUCCGAGUUGUGUUGUAUUGACCGACACUAACUCAUGGGUUUGUUGAGAUUGGGUUGUGAGCUAAACACUUUCGUGGUAAGGGCGAUUCGUUGUUUGGCUAACCACGUUGCAUUCAAUCGGGUGAAUAACGGGAAUGGUUCACCUGUGCAUAUCAUGGUGAAUAACGGGAAUGGUUCACCUUGCAUAAAUGAUGAAUAACGGGAAUGGUUCAUCAUAUGGUGAAUAACGGGAAUGGUUCACCAAGGAUGAAUAACGGGAAUGGUUCAUCCAGGAUGGAUUUCAUCCAGGAUGGAUAACGGGAAUGGUUCAUCCAUAGUGAAGAACGGGAAUGCUUCACUUGUGGCGAACGGGGACGCGUCACAAAUCCGGAUUCAUAUUGUGCAUUUCACGCAUACAUUCAUGCUGACUGAGACUGUGUGCUGUUUGUUUAUUGAAGCAAUGUUAGAGCCAUAACAUGCUAGGAUUACUUAUAUGCUUAUAUAACAACUUAUAUAUAUACCCUGUCACAUGUUGAGUGUAUAUGUACUUAUUGCUGUGAGUUGACCCUAGCGCCUUGGCUUUGUUUGUAUGUUUGUGUUUGGGCGGUCGGCCUGCUGCCAGAUGUCGAUGGCCGACUGGUUCUCGGUGGUCUCUCCCUCGGGGGGGGGGAUCAGAUAUGAGCUGCAGGAUCGGGAUGCCCCACCGCUUGGGUGAUCGAUGUUGCUGGUCACCGGGCGACGUAUCGGGGAAGGGUCAUGGAGGACCGGACUGACGAGCGUGGACGUCUGACGAAAGGAGUUCUAUGGCGCAUGGAGUUGAGCUUCAACUUGCCGACUUCAGAUCGUUGUGGGUUUGGCACUGGGAGGUUAGGUUUGGGCAGGCGUCAUGCUUUGUGUAGAGCUCUGAUUCAUUUUGCUUUUGGGAUCGGGUAGGUUUCCGACGCAUGACUUUUCGUGUGGUUCUCUUACUGAGGGAUCACAGUGAGUCAGUUGGACCAUAGGGGUCUUUGCUUAGGCCAUAUUGAGGCCGACUUUCUCCUAGUGGUUUGUAAUUAUAAUUUUCUCACUUACACUUCUGGGUCUGUAUAUAUUUGCCUACGGGCACACUGCUUUGGAGUCACUGCGAGUGCGCGUGACAUGGAGUGCAGCUGAGGCUGUACAUGUAUAUAUGUUGUAUAUCGGUUAGUUUAGUAGUUGGGUUUUGUCUUUACUUCCUUAUCGUUUUGAUUUAAAGGAAAGAAAACGAAAAAAAAAUUACCUGUUUUCCGCGUAAAGAUUAUUUUUGGUUACUAAAGUGACACCUGGAAAUCGGGGUGUUACAGAUGGCACUUGUGUUAUCACAUAAAAGAGGUAUCCUGUUUUCAUGAAUGUUGUAAUCCUCAAGUUGAUGCUUUAUCCAUAGGAGUUGUGUACAACAAGAACUUGCUGCCACAUAUUCAGCUUCAGCAGUGGAUAAGGAAAUAGUGCUUUGACGUUUACUUGUCCAGGAUACUAAACAGUUUCCCAGAAAGUGACAUCCUCCACUAGUGCUUUUCCGUUCAACUCGAUCACCAGCAUAAUCCGCAUCACAAAAUCCUUCACCUGAAUCUUACCUUCUCAUAUAUAGACCAAGAUAGCAGUCCAAUUAAUAUCUAGGAUCGUUACAGCACUAAAUGAGAUGCUGUGGGUUACCUGAACCUUCACAUAGACAACACUAAACAUAUUGCUGGUCUGCUGCAGUUAAAUAAGAAGGAACCAAUCUUCCUCUGUNNNNNNNNNNNNNNNNNNNNNNNNNNNNNNNNNNNNNNNNNNNNNNNNNNNNNNNNNNNNNNNNNNNNNNNNNNNNNNNNNNNNNNNNNNNNNNNNNNNNCCGCAUCACACAAUCCUUUCAACCUGAAAUCUUCACCUUUCUCAUAUAAUAGACCAAGAUUAGCAGUACCAAUUAAAUAUCUAAAGAUUCGCUUAACAGCACUAAGAUGAGAUUGCUGUGGGUUUACCUGAAACCUUGCACAUAGACAAACACUAAACAUUAUGUCUGGUCUGCUGGACGUUAAAUAAAGAAGUGAACCAAUCAUCCCUCUGUACGAUGUUGGGUCAACUGGUGAGCUUUCAUCACUUUUGUCCAGAACAGUGUUGGGAUACAUAGGAGUACUCAUCUCAUUUGACUUGUGCAUGUUGUAUUUCUUGAGCAUAUCCUUUAUGUACUUGGACUGAUGUAUGAAGAUCUUGUCUUUCUCUUGCUUGAUUUGAAGUCCCAGAAAGAAUUUCAGUUCUCCCAUCAUACUCAUUUCAAAUUCACUUUGCAUGAGAGUAGAAAAUUCUUUACACAGUUUAUCGCUAGUUGCACCGAAGAUGAUAUCAUCAACAUACAAUUGUACAAGGAUGUAGUCGUCCUUCAAUUGCUUCCUGAAGAGGGUGUUGUCAAUCUUUCCUCUUGAAAAACCAUUCUUCAUGAGAAAGUUGCUUAGACGAUCAUACCAAGCCCUUGGGGCUUGUUUUAAACCGUACAGAGCUUUCUUCAACCUGUACACGUAGUCUGGAGUGGAUGGUUCUUCAAAGCCUGGAGGUUGCUUCACAUAGACUUCCUCUUCAAUUACUCCGUUCAGAAAGGCGCUUUUGACAUCCAUUUGAUAUAGCUUGAUGGAAUGUUGACAUGCAAAAGCUAGGAGUAUUCUUAUUGCUUCAAUUCUUGCAACUGGUGCGAACGUUUCAGUGUAGUCAAUUCCUUCUUGUUGGUUGUAACCUUGUGCUACUAGUCUCGCUUUGUUUCUAGUGACUUUCCCAUUUUCAUCCAUCUUGUUUCUGAAGACCCAUUUAGUACCAAUGAUAGAUUUUCCAGUUGGUCUUGGAACUAGGGUCCAUACUUGACUUCUUUCAAAUUGAUUUAGUUCUUCUUGCAUAGCCAGAAUCCAUCCUUCAUCUUGUAGAGCCUCUUCAACGUUCUUUGGUUCAAUCUCUGAGAUGAAUGCACUGUUUGAUUCUUCUCUGAAUGCUGAUCUGGUCUUUACUCUUUCUGAUACACUUCCAAUGAUUUGCUCUGGUGGAUGAUCACUUCUGUACUUCCACUCCUUUGGAAGUGAGAUUCCGCUUGAAGUCAUGACUUGGUCAGACUGUUCAGGAAUAGUACCAGGAGGUGACGGAGAUUGAUCUUCAUGAACUGAUUCUGAUGGUUGAGCUCUCGUUGUGUCGUCAUCUGCUUCAUCAUGAUCUGAUAGGUCUAGAUUGAGAAAAUCUCUUUCUAAACGAUCAACGACCUUGAUUGAACUAUCAUCGAACUUGACAUUGAUAGAUUCUUCAACAACUUUUGUUCUUGAGUUGUAAACUCUAUAGGCUUUGGAGUGAGAAGAAUAUCCAAGGAGAAUUCCUUGAUCAGACUUAUUGUCAAAUUUUCCGAUGUUGUCCUUGGUGUUUGUAACACCCCGAUUUCCAGGUGUCACUUUAGUAACCAAAAAUAAUCUUUACGCGGAAAACAGGUAAUUUUUUUUUUCGUUUUCUUUCCUUUAAAUCAAAACGAUAAAGAAGUAAAGACAAAACUCAACUACUAAACUAACCAAUAUACAUCAAAUAUAAACAUGUACAGCCUCAGCUGCACUUCCACGUCACACACACUCGCAGUGACUCCAAAGUAGUGUGCCCGUAGGCAAAUAUUUACAGAUCCAGAAGUGUGAGUGAGAAAAAGUAUAAUUACAAACCACUAGGAGAAAGUCGGCCUCAAAACGGCCUAAGCAAAGACCCCUAUGGUCCGACUGACUCACUGUGAUCCCUCCGUAAGAGAACCACACAAAAAGCCAUGCAUCGGGAACCUACCCUGUCCCAAAAGCAAAACGAAUCAGAGCUAUUACAGUACAACCAACUCCAAAGACUUUUACACCCAUUUCCCCCACUUUAUUUUUAACUUUCUUGUAUAGGAUUGAAAGUCCGGUCCUCGCGAACGCUUAAUAAUAGCGUUCCGUUCCGGUCUUUCCGCACAAUGAAUAUCACAAACCGGGUGACAACCCUGCAGAGGGCGACCGCCAAACACAACUACAACAAAGCCAGGCGCUAGGUACUUCGAUCCAUGAUUCCAUCACUGGGUAAAANNNNNNNNNNNNNNNNNNNNNNNNNNNNNNNNNNNNNNNNNNNNNNNNNNNNNNNNNNNNNNNNNNNNNNNNNNNNNNNNNNNNNNNNNNNNNNNNNNNNCCCUUGAUCAGGCAUAAAGCCGGGUCCCUGUCAAAAAGCUCCAGUAAAAGUCGUUCCGCUCGGGUUUUUCCCGGCACAAUGAUAUCAUCACGAACGGGUUGACAGACGCUUGGAAGCAAGGCCGGCCGCCCAACCCAAACAUACAACAAAGCCAGGCGCUAAGGGUCACUUACAGAAAUCAAUAGAUAUCCAUCACCUGUGAUAAAGGGGAUAUAUACAUAUGUUGUAUAUAUAUACAUAUAAGUUAUGAUUGCCUACUCUAAGGUAUAUACAUAGCAUGUUCUCGAAUCUCCUACACAGUUCAAUCAUUAAUACCUAACGAUGUUCAUCAACAUCAAAUCAUCAUAAUCUCAACAUAUGAAGUUAGGUGAUAAGGUUAGUCAAACAAUGUAUCGUCCUCCCAACACACACGUAUCCAACUAAACCAAUGUUCCCUGUCGUUGCCCUAGGGUAAACGACGAUGAAAUCUCACGCUUCCAUGAAGUCUCACGCUUCAAUGGGGUCUUACGCUUUCACGAAGUCUCACGCUUCAGUGAAAUCUCACACAUUCACGAAGUCUCACGCUUCAGUGAAGUUUCGCGCAUUCACGAAGUCUCACGCUUCAGUGAAGUUGCACGCCUCCGCAAAGUCUCCCGCUUCAGCAAAGGUGUACGCCUCCGCAAAGUCUCCCGUUUCAGCGAAGGUUCCCGUCUCCACGAGGUCUCCCGCCUCAGUGAAGUUUCUGCUUUCACGAAGUCUCACGCAUCAGUGAAGCUUACUCACUUUCACGAAGUCUCACGCUUCAGUGAAGUUCCAUGCUUUCACGAAGUCUCACGCCUCAGUGAAGCUUCCCGGCUCAUCCUUUGGAUGGCUAAAUAAACUGCUCAACGAGCGAAGGAGUACCAAUGUACUUGGAAACUUAUAGUUCCCCCGGCUUAUCCUUUAGAUAGCCAAACAACAAACUGCUCCGACCCAAACUCAAAACAACCCAAGAGUUAGUGUCGGUCAAUACAACACAACUCCACCAACAAGAUUACACGAGGGUCUAGUGUCGGUCAAUACAACACAGCCCAAACAACAAGAGCACUAGGUGUCGGUCAAUACAACACGGCUCCAUAACACUUCCCCAAGAGUACUAACGUACUCGGUGACUUUCAAUCAUCACCAUAGCUCACCUUAGUGGCUUUCCCAAUUCCGAUAACUCUCCAAACCCACAACAAAGGUCGACUUUUCCCCCGCCUUUCGUAAAUAUUUUUCCCCUUCAGUUCUCCUAUGCUUAAACGUUAAUAAAAAUGAUUUCAAUUCAAAUUAGUCAAAUUAUGAGUUUAUUUCUCAAAGUCUAAGUUUCCCAAGUCUUUAUUUUUCGAAAGCUCUAUCAUUCUAAGUUUCCAAAAAUCAACCACCCAAAAUACAUUUCCCGGGGAAAGUCUAGGAAUUCCAACGAAUCCCAACAAAUGGCUAAGUCUCAAACCCCACAUUUGGACUUGCCUAUGUUUGUUCAUCCAACCCGAAAUGUCAAAGAUCACCGGAUCAAUGAACCUCCACUCCGAAGUCGCGUCAAAACGCACAAUCCA